rnacentral:lncRNA from 1 species
UUUUUUUAUUUUCUCAUUCUGACUUCUAAAUCACGAACUUCUUUCAUAAAACUAGUUUGAAAGGUCCUACCAAAUUAAAAGAACUUCUCAACUUCUCAAAAUUAUUAUUAUUUUGAGAAUUGAUCAACGUUCCAUGGUGAAGUCCCUCAAACUCUCCAUGGGGACCCAAACAUUAGAUGCCAUUAGAUGCUAAUAACGCCCACUACAAUCAGCACCAGAUAAUCCUAGACAUUCAAUCAACAAUAGAAAUCGAACCGAGGACCAUGUGCCUCUACCACUGACCACCACUAACCAAUUGGACACAUUGAUGGGCUUAACUUCUCAAAAUCCAUCCAAACCAAACCCAAAAUAUUUUUUCUUUCAUAUGUAUAUCAAAUAAAGAGACUUUAGAUUCUUUUUCCCCCUUUUUCCUGCUGCAUUCCAUCAUCCAAACAUAGCCUAACAAUUAGAGCUCAACAAAAUACAAAAAAUGGUUCAGUUUUUACAGGCUUAAGGACUUUAAGAGUUCAUUUGAAUCUUGAGGACUCCAGCUGUAACGCCCAGACAUUUUCUUUUAAGGGUAAUUUAAGAAAUUGUUAUUAAUAAUUUAAUUAGUUAAUUAAUUAAUUUAAUAAAGUGGAAGAGGGGUAAAAGUGUAAUUUUACAAAUAAAUACCCUAGGUAUAAAUUAGAAAUUUUAUUCUUUCCCUUCUUUUCUGAAUAGAGUUCCUGUUCAUAGAAUUCCAGAGAAAAGGUUGGAGUCAGAUUUCAGGGUUGAAGAACAGAUCUCUAUAGGUAAGAUUCUAACCCCUAGUUUAAUAUUUUAGAUUCAUUGAUUAAUUUCAAACACAUUAGAUAUAUUUUUUUUGGAAAACCCCAAAUCUAGAUUAGGGUUAGAUUAUUUUUUUAAUUCGUUUUAAUAUCAAAUAGUGAAAAUUUAAUAUUUUGAUUUUAGUAUUGGAAUUUGGGAGAUCUUAAGUUUUAUUAGAAAAAAAAAAAUUCCUUGGAAUAUUUCGAUUUUAGGUUAGGGUUAAUUAAAAAAAAAAAAAAAAGGGAGAACGCGUGUGCACAGCAUUGGAAGGAAGGAAAAUAAAAAUAAAAAAAAUUUUUGGGCGUGUGCCCAGAUGGAAGGAGACUUAUAUUAUAUAUAUAUAUAUAUAUAUAAUGAUUCAUUAUUAUGAUGAUGGCAAUGGAAAAAAAAAAAAAAAUUGCUUUGCUUUACUUGUUUGGUGUGUACCCCAAACAAGUAAGAGAUUUAGCAAAAUAUAUAAUAAUAUAUUUUUUGUAAUAAUGAUUUAGCCUCAAAUUAGAUAAUUAAUAAAAUAAUGAUAUUUAGUUUCAGAUUAAUAAUUAAGAUAAUAGUAAUAAUAGAUUUAGCAAAAUAUAUAUAUAUAUAUAUAUAUAAUUUUAUAAUGAAAUAAAAUUGUAAUUUAAUUAAAUUAGUAGUAUGUUAUUAGAAACAAAUUGAGAAUUUAUUAGUUUUAUUUAAAUAAAGAAUAAAUUAGUUAAAUUAUAAAUAAAUAGUAAUAAUUGUUUCUCUUAUGUUAUAUUAGGUGAAGAGUAGAUUAUAUUUUUUUCAGAAUUAUUCUUCUCCCAAACUUUCAAGGACUUCUUUUGAGGUAAGGGAAGUUAAUAUAAUAUUUAUAAAAUUAAAUUAUUUCAUAUGUUAUUUUGAAUUGUGGAAAAUAAAAUGAUAUUUUGUUACCAUGCAUGGAUCAAAUUGUUUUGCACUAAAUGUUAUGUUGGAAUAUUUUGUUUUAUUUAUGACACAAAAUAUGGAGAUAUUAUGUUGUGUAAAUUUGAAUACUUGAACAAAAACAUCACUCUGGUUUAUUUGGCCCUUGUCAACGGGAUAUAAUAGUUGACUAUUCGGCCCUAUCAACGGGAUAUAAUAGUUGAUCUUUACAUUUCAUAGUGAGAAUGUAAUUGAUUUGGACCCCAGCCUCUAGGGGUUUGGUUAGAGGUUACUAGUACUAGUAGUGUUUGGUCCGUCCACCAAGAACAAUUUGAGGCUAGCCACCCAUUUGAAAAGUCCCACCUAACUGGGCAUUUGAUAUUUGAUAACCAGAGUAAUGAAACUUGAAUGAAUUUGAUUGAAUCUUAUGUGAAAGUGUUUGAAUUUGAUAUGAAAUUGAUUGGUUGAAUUUUGAAUAUAUUGGUAUUUUUGGAACUCUGAUAUUUGAUGAGAAAAAAAAAAUUGAUAUCUCCUAUUUGAAAUGAAAAUAUUUGAUCCAUGAAUUGCAUUAAUAUUCCUUAUUGGGCUGUGAGCUCAUCCCCAAUUGUUGAAAAUUUUUCAGGUACUCUUAGUUCGGGUGAGGAGUGAUGGCUAGGCUGAAGAAUGGUCAUCAUUAGGAUUUGACUUAGGAUUUUAUGUUGGAUUUUGUUUAACUGUUAGUUAUGUUCAUUUGGAUCAUUUGAUAUUUGGAAGUUAUUUGGAAAUUGAAUUUUGAAGAAUUUAGAUUUUGUUCCGCUACUCUGAACAGGUAUUUGGUAAUUAGUAACAUCUAGUUACAAUAUGAUUGUUCGGGUCAGAUUAUACUUUAAGCCUUCGGGUUUGAGGUGUGAAAUGACCGUCACGCCCUUGGAGUGGGUCUUGGGGCGUGACACCAGCACUAGGAGAAUUUUUUAAUAACUCAAAAUAUAAGACUGAAGGGACUCAGUUCAGCUCAAAUAUCAGUUGAACAAAAGUAAUAAAAUCGGCAUUCAGCAGCAAAAUUAUUUAAACACAACCUCAAGUAAUAGUGGUUUUAACAUAAAGAUCAACCUUCAUAUUUAACAGGAAGGAAAAAAAAGACUCAUGUGGCAUUGAAAGAAAAUAAUUUUCACUGAACACUAGAAAAUUUGCUAUCCACCAUUGCUACAAAACAACGUUUCAAGUUUCAGGUUUUGGGUUUCAAGCAGUAUUAGCUCAAAAUAUAGAUGUAGGUGAAACAGCCGAGAAUUCUAAAAUGAGUAAUAAUCAUAGAGCUUACGAUUAGUCACAAGAGAGUGCCUCCUGUAAAACUUUUGUGGUCUCCAUGACUCUAUGACCAGCCAAGGACAUAGUCCAAAACAUAAACCAGUGCCAGGGAGAAAGGGUAUAGCAAGAGAGCUACAAAAGAUGUCCAGAGAGGGAAGGUGGUGCGGAAACUGGCAAAAACGCCCAUCACAACGCAAACUAUGACAAUGACCAGCACCUCUGAUGAAAAGUCCCAUGUCAAUCCCCUAACAUAAACGAGGGCUAAGAAGACUGACAGGCAAAGGACAUUAUUCAUUGUUACCGCCCCAUAUAACUGUAUGAGAAAAAGAGAUGAAAACAGAUUAGAGGGAUAAUUUCAUAACUCCAGAACAAAACAUUUAACGAUGAAGCAAAUAUAUUGAUGCCUGUAAACAAUAACACCAAUGUUUAUGCCUUGUGAGUUCAUAUUCUGCACUAUUUGAAGAUGAACCUAUGACUAUACUGGAACUCUGGCCUACAAGCAGCUAACAUGGUUCGUAUAAUUCAAUAUACACCAGUCAUUUAGAAAGUCAGUUCCAGAGACUGCAUUUCACUGGGGGAGGGAGAGAGGAUUACAAGAACUGUUAUGAGAUUGUGAGAAAUACAGGUGUUAUAAGAAGAUGUCUUAGGAGAUCAAAUGUAAGAAACAUUGAUUAGGCUAAAAAGUGCGUUUGGUAGUGAUUUUAGGAAGUCUUUCUAGUCUUUCUAACACUUGAAAGAUAAUGGACCUUCCCUAUAAAACAACCAAUGAAGUUUUAGCCAAAUCUAAGAGCUAAUGGGCACUUUGCAGUAAUGAAAAAGCAAUAAUACCUUCUAAUCUUAAGUUUUUCACUAGAAAUCAACGGAAUAAUUAGUGAAUGACAAAUCACAAAUUUUUUUCAUUUUCUUAAAAAAAUAGAUUGUUAAGUUUGGGAAACAUUAGAUUCAUUAGAAAUAUUGGAUCAUUAAUCAAAUAAUGCUCUGCCAUAUAGCUCCAAACAGGUGGUGUGAUUAUUUAGUAUCCAAAAAUUACAUAGAAGAGAAGGGAAGAAACACACCUCUGAAAAUGUCAAAGACGUAGUCCUGUUCUUUUUGCGGCUAGCAAAGAUAAUUGCUGAAACUGCCUCACUGGAGUUGGUAGCCAAGGGCAGUGCAAUAAAUGAGAUGAAGAAGGUAGGAAUACUUGUAGCAUCAGAGAAGUUGUCAACAGCAUCUACAAGGGGAUCAGCAAAUACAGCUGCAAUAAGAGUUCCCAACAACAACAUCAUUACUGCUUUAAAGGUAAUCCACUUCGGGUUUUCCACAGCCUCAACCACCUCAUCACUUUGAUCCCCCCCCAAACGAUGGUGCUCUCUCUUUGUUCCCUGCAGACGCAUUUCAAAAAGUUGGGAAUCUUGCUCAUAAUAAGCUGCUGCUGGAGAAGGUUGUUAUGAGACAACUUACCCUGUGAAAAGCAUCUAAAACACUUGAUGAAUUAGGACCAGCAUCAGGACCAGAACCCCCAUAACGCUUUGCUUCCAUAAGCCAUCUUGAAAUUCCUUUGACAAACUCUCCCUCAUCAACAAACUGAUCAUUGGAUGUAUCAAAAUCACUCAUCACUUUGUCCACAGCCUCAUUCUUAUCCAAGUCUAUCUCCUCAAACUGAAUUCCUACAAUCAAUGCUCUUAAUUCGGCUUUUGAAAGGUUCCCAUCGUGAUUCUCAUCAAUUGUAUGAAAAAGCCUGUGGCAGUACCAAUCAUGUGCUCAGGAAAUAUAAGUCAUACUAACAGCAUGCCUGCAUUUGAUAAAACACUUACUUUCUUAUAAUUUCUUCAUUAGGUUCACCUUCCUCCGUUAGGAGCUUUCCGAGUGCGCGCUUUCUUAAAUGUUUAAGAAGUCCAGAUAUUACAUGUUUAUGCUUUGCAUAAGCAAGUCGUCUCUUUUGUAUCCAAGGCACAAAAACCUGCACCAAUAUUUAAAAGAAAAGUUGAGCAUCAAUACAGAAAGGAGACCAAGAUUCCUUUUUCUUUUGUAUUUUUAUGAAUAACAAUUUUGUCGAAUCUAUUAAGAGAAAGGCAGAAACCGAUCUACAAGUGGAUUAUAAAUUGGAAAGCAGAAAACAAAAAAUCUAUAAAAUCAUGAAGGAGAAAACCUUCCCUCCAUAUGAUACAACAAAAAUGGCAAUUCCACAAUUCAAUUUUAAAAUUGCCAAUCCCAAUACAUUCUACUAGAAUAAUAAUAAUAAUAAUAAUAAUAAUAAUAAUAAAUAAAUAAAUAAAAUUCAUAUUAGCUAACUCUAUGGCAAGAAAAAAAUACUCGCCAUUGACUGUAACAAUCCCGGUUAUAUUACUCAGCCGCUGACUAAGACAGCCCUAAAUUUUCGCUUUUUAGAUAGAAAGUCUGUUCCUAAGGCCUUGAAAACUCAAAUACGCAAAACUUUGUAAAAUGUAAGGAAGGGUGUCUUUGACUUUGCAAUAAACUAUAACAUGCUAUUUAUCCAAAGAACAGCACAUUAUAGCAUGAAUAUAGUUUCAAGUUUAAAUUUCCAAAUAUUUCCCUCAGACAUCCCAAACGCUUCCAUUUUCAGGAGAUAAUUGAUAGAUAAAUGAAAAUAGAAAAUAUUUUAGAUUAAUUAAUGGUGCAUUUGACAAAAGGGACAUUGUUAUGAUUGAAAUAUUUUGAUGAAAUUUUCUCAAAAAAGAAAUCUUAUAAAUUAUCUGUGAAUGGAAGAGAUUCUUGAGCGCUUAUCAAUCCAUAAAUAAAGUCAUACAAUUAAAAGUAUUCAAGCAUGAAACCAAGGGAAUUUUCAGAUCCAUUCCAAAAAAAAUGAAAAAGCUUUAGAGACAUGUUUUAGAAAACAGCAGGAACAUUUGGAAACAUGCUGUAAUCAAUUGUUUCAUUUUCUUGAACGUAAACCAGAAAACAUCAUUUUGAUGGUUCUUGGAAGGACAUGAUGAUUUCAAAAAGAAGUUCUCAAAGCAAGGAGGUUUCCAGAGAUCUAAGUGACAACAUGUCAACAUUAUUCAACUUUCUGGCCAUAGUUGCUUACUCAUAAAACAAAUCAUGAAUCUUUUUUCUAUUUUUCCAUAUCAAAUCAUGUACUGUAAGAUUUUUAUAUAGUGAAAAAAAAAAUUAAAAAAAAAUUCACACAUGUACAUAUUUAUUAGAAGCAUGAAGUAUAGUAAUAGAUAACCAAUUUCAUGGAAGAUAGUAGGAUUUAAAGAGUUAAACUAUGUCUGAUCAUAUGAAAACAUUGGAUACUAGAGGUUUAAAAAAAAUAUUCAAUUUAACAAACCUGAGUUUAAUGUAUAGGAAUUUCAUGAAUUUAGGCCCUAGUUGGAUUGACAAAAUGAUGAGGGGGGUGCACGAGAGGUUCAAAUUUAAUCAAUCCUUUUAACUGUUGAAAACAUGAUUAAAAUUAAAAACCAAAGUGUAAUUAAAUUUGAUGACUGCCAAGAAAAUAAUUACCUGGUACAAGCAAUAAGUAAUCAAUAAUAUAAGGGAGACAAUAAGCGCAAUCAAGACUGCUAAGCGUCUUGCUGAAGUUGAAUGUAGAACUUGAGGUAGUUGGACAAUGAUAAAUGGGAUGACUGAUAUCACCAUGAUGAUUGCAGCGUAACUAGUCCAGAUAUCGGUACUAACACCAGAACCUGUGAAGGAGGGAAUUAUUUUAAACAUGUAGCACUAUAGUCAUUAAUUCAAUAUUUUUAAAUCUGUUUAUACUACGGCAUCAAACACAGUUUAAGGAUGUGUUUUUAGUCAUCAACUUUUGGGAUAUGUGAAUAUCAUUCCUGACACUUAACUCAGCAGUAGGAUGACAUUUACCAUCACUUAAAUGGAAUUAGAAGAUAGCAAAGAAAAGCAACUUAAAUUUAUACAAGUCUCAAGGGUAUGUGUAUUUUAGAGAAUAUCUAUUUUCAUCAAUCACACUUUUAAAGGUCAACAUAGUGAUAGCUUAAAUCUUCUACAUUUGACUUUUCUAGUCAUGUAACAGCUGCAAAGUUAAUAGACAUUCUAAGCCCACAAAAAUUUUGCUAUUAAGGAAUGAUAUAUAGCAAAUUUGGUUAUUGACCAACUAGCUCCACAUAUUUCCAAAAUACCCUUACUUGAUAGUUAUACGCAUGAUGUAUAACACGUGGAAGAAAUCAAGAGAGACGGAUGAAAAGUUAAAUAUGAAGGUAUAACACAGGAGAGAAGAAAAUUAAGAGAAGAAGUUGAAAAUGUAAUUUAUUGUGGGAACCACUAUCUUGUUAAAUGAUAUUAGACACUAAUUCAUCUGUAAAAUAUAAAUAUGCUCCUUAUUACACCAUGUAAUCCAUAAGUCCAUCAUCAAAUUAUUAAAUUAAACAAAUGUCCCUGCCUUAAUCUUAACAGCAUGCAACAAAUGCAGUUUUUGAGUGGGCUUGCGACUGCCAAAAAUGUAUACAAGCCAGAACUUAGUAGUUUAUCAUAAAGAAAUAAUAAAUGAUAUAGGAUAGCACUCUGCACAGGUAAAGGUAUAUCGACAUGGGCAUACCGGUUAGGCUAAAUCCUUUGGUAUCUUGUGAGUCUUUGGCAACUGAAUCCUGAAGGUCACACUUGCCAACAAUAACACAAGUUCCCCAUAUUAUUGUAAGGAGCAUUACAGUUGAUCCAGCAAGCAACCCCAUUCCUACAGAGACCUGACUCUGUGCAGUUUCUGUACUUCCAGACAGGCCAGAUACUACAUGAAAUAAGAGAGUUCAUUAGAAGGAACAUGGAGAUCAAUCAUUAGAUACAUGACUACAAUGUCACUACAAAAAGGAUAAAACAUAAAAUGAAAAUAAAUAAAAGGAUACAGAACUAUAAAAGAACAUGCACGUUCUCCCCGUUAGAAACAUGGAAAAGAAAAUUUAGAUUUCGGAAACGUGGGGAUACAAGGGGUGAGCAGCAUCAUAAAUUAAUCACUGCAAAGCAGUGAGCACUACUGAUUUUAGGCAAAAGCAGGCAUGACUAGUAUAUAAGACAAACCAAACCAUCAAUUCAAGAAUCAAAGCAGAGAAUUGAAUAUUUACUAAAGCUGUCAAUGCAUAACAUGGUAUAAUUCACGCCCUUCAUACUAUGGGAUAAUUGAUUAUUCCAUCCUUUGGUCCUUUUACCCCAACCAAAACUCCAAAAUACCAUUCUCAUUUCAAAGUGAUAGUUCCAAAAUUUGUGCGGCAGCACCAAUGAGCAUUUGGGCUAAGGCAUAGGGUACUUCCAAUCAAGAUAAAGCAUCAGACAUAUUCAGAAGGUUUCCUCUACUGUGUAUCUAAUGUGAUCAUCAACUUAAACAUAGAUUUCAGAUUGUUAGAAGAUGCUCAUUCAUGAUGUCAUGUCAAAGUUAGCGCUAAAAACUUCAUCCAUGCUCAAAGUUGGGAUCAAAAAAUGGAAAAAAGGAAAAAAAUAUUAAGAACCAAAUCAUUUGCAGAACUCUUGCUCUAAAAAUAAAGUACAAUGUUGGGGAUAUUACUUAGCAGAGGAAUUUGCAAAACAAUGGCUACAGGACAAAGGAAAGAACAAAAGAUCGUUUACCAUCCAUCUCAAAUGGAUCUUUCACUGGGUAUCUCAGACACAAGAAACAGAGAAACUCCUACCAAGAAACUCCAAACCAAAAAAAAAAUGAACACAAAAAAUUCUGGUUGAUGUGUUCUUAAAUUCAACAGCUGAAAUAAAACACUGUCAGCAAAAAGUUUCUUGGAACAAAUUACUGCACAAAUUCUGAAAUAAACAAAAUACUGCACAAAUUCUGAAAUAGAGACGAAUUAUAACAAAUAUUGAAAUUAAAUUAAAAUUUUGAAUCUAAGAAUUUUUAUAUUUGGGGGCCCUGAUUCCAAAAGAGGGAGAGAGAGAGUUAAGCUUAAAGGGUUUUGUUUCCUUUUCCUUAGUUUCUUCCAACGGUCCGACCCCAGUCCAGGGUAUAUCCUCCAGCUCACACAGUACAGUUAGAAAAUUAUUCCAAAAAAAAAAAGGGUCAAACAAGAACUCAGAAAAAUCAGAUUCUGAAUUUACUUCUCCUGUCAUUUUCUAAGGCAACAAAUAGUAAAAACAAUCUUUAAAAGAAAAGAUCAGAAAAUAAGAAGGAGAAGAAAACACUUGAUUUACAUUCUUUGUAGCUGAUUGAUUUUUCCCCUUUUCAAAAUUAAAAAAAAAAAAAAAGAAGGUUGCUGAGAAAAUGUUGUAAAAGAAAAUCAAAGUUAAUCUGGAAUCUUCAGAGUUUUUCAACCCAUAUAAAAGAAAAUAAAAAAAAUUAAAAAUAUAUAGCGAGAAAUGAAUGACCAAAUUUCAUUGUUAUCAUUUUUCUUCCUCCAAUUUCUCAGCAAGAAACAGAGAAAAAAGUUUAUGAAAAACAAAAAAAACCAUAAGUGAAUCUGAACAAAAACAAUGUAAAACAAAAGACCCAAAUCCAAUCUUUCCGCUUCCUCCAAUUUCCGGGGAACAAAAUCAGAAACAGAUACGCCGCUUGAUUACCAAGAAAAUGAAAGAAAAAUUAAAAACUUGGUAGCAGUGAACACAAAAAAAUGAAAACCUCCCUUAAAACAACUACUUCACCUAACUGUUUCGAGCAUUUAAUUUUCAAUAACGCCAAAAAAAAUGACGGUUCUGUUCUUUUCCUCCACUUUCUCAUCAACCCAACGGUCAUUUUACCAUUACCUACACUUUCCCAGUAAAAGAACAAAGAAAAGAGAGCAAAGUCCGUACCAAGGAUAAGCAUGGCAUCGGGAAGAGCGCCGAGAAUGGGAAGCAAGAGGCCACCGACCAGGCCAGGACCCAAGAGUUCAAGCAGGAGCUCACUGCCGGAGGAAAGAUAGGUUGCGGCGAGGAACAUGAGGUAACCAUAGACCAGGAUGAGGAAGAGGUUACCCACUGUUGUCGUUGUGCAGGGCAUGAAUCCGUACGUCUGAUCACAUGAAUCCGAGGCUGAAACAGCGGAAAAUGAUCUGAGAAGAAGAUAAGGCGAGCCAUCGCGGUGGUCGUGGACGCCGUCAGAGACUAGGCCGGUGGACGAUGUGCGGUUGCUUAUGACUCUGCCGUCGACGGAAGCGCCGGCGGCGAGGAGCAGAAGGAGGAGGACGGAGCCGGAAGCGGUGGUGGCCAUGGUGGUGGAGGAGAGCGAAGAGUCCUAUGUGGAGUUUAUUUCCAUAUAUAUGGAUUUGGAUGUGGAUGGAUGAACCGCGUGUGAUGCGUGUCUGAACCGGCGAUCGAGUUUUAGUAUUAUUAAAUGUAAGGAGCGCAGCAGGUAAUGAAGGGUUCCUGGUUUUUCCAUUUUAGGUAAAUGGAGGUGUUCAUUUGUAAUUAUAUAAUUUAAAAGGAAUGUUUUCAACUUUUUUUCAAAUGAUUAAAAAUAAUAAUAAAAAAAUAUAUUUUUAGAAAAAAAAUUAAUAAUUAAAAUUAAAAAAAGUCAAAUAAAAGACAAAUGGACUUAUAACUGUUCUCCUCGUUUAAUUUUUUUAAUGAGAUGAGAUAUGAAUUAUUUUGAAUAAAUGAGGUAAGAUUGGGAUAAGGCAACCUGACUCUAAACAUAAUUUUCUCCAAAAACUUUAAAUUAUAUUUUAAAAAUUAUAAUUAACUAAAAGAUUAACUAACUAUUUAUGUAAAUCACUCGUAUUAACCUUAAAUUUGUUUUUAAAAAAUAUUAAAUAAAGAAAAUUGAGAAAAAAAUGGUAGAAUAAAUAAUUUUAGAAAUAUUUUAAUUUUAAGAUAUAUAAGCACUAAACAUGCUAAAUUUGAUUGUCUUUUUUAACUAAAUUAUUCAUGUUUUCCUAAAAAAAUAUUUGUGUUAUUUAUGUUAUUCAAUUUAUAUUUCUGAAAAAAAAAGCUGAGAAUUGAAUGGGCCAAAAUGGGACAAUAAUAGUAAUUAAAGUAAAAAAAAAAAACAAAAUGAAAUGAUUGCAUUUUUUAAUUUAACCGUUGUAUCAUACUCCAUUAUCUACAGUAACUGGUGGCUUUUCAAAAGUUAAAAGAAUAUGAAAAGUUGGAAGAUAUCUUUGUUGUGAAUUAAUAAGAAACAAGAAGAUAAUAAAUCAAAAUUAGCAUCUAAUAUACACAAUAAAAAAGUUAAAAAAAAAUAUGCUUAAUUUUUACAUUAAUUAACCCAAAAAAUAAAUCAAAAUCCAAAAAAAUAUUGCUUUAUAUAAAUUAUUUUUUAAUUUAUGCACAAAGUUAUUACAUAUUUAAAAAAAACUUUUGUUUUCAUAUAAAAUAAUAAUAAUAAUUACUCACGCUCAUGUAUCUGACAGAAUUACGGGAUCAAAUAAACAAACGGGAUCAAAUAAACAAAUAUCUCAUACAACGCAAACAAAUCUCUACACAAAAAUUAGGGAUGAUUUUGAUAUCAUUUGUAACAACUUGCAUUAAAUAAUAUAGAUAUUGUCGUUUAUCGCUUUGAACCUGAAAAGAAUCCUCGUGAAUUUAAAACACGUUUAUAAAAUUAAGAAAAGUUCAUAUUUAUAUAAUUUUAUGAAUUUUUUCUUGUAAUCUAAUGUUAAAUAUGAUAAUAUUAUUAUUAUUAUUAAAAAGCAAUUUUAAUGAUACUAAAUGAGAAAAAUAAUAAAUAGUAGGAACAUGAAGGACCGAGAAUAUACUUUUUAUAGAAAAUAAUCGAGACAUUGAAUAAUAUUUCUCAAAAGUUUCAAAUCUAACUUGAUCUAAUUUUUUAUUUUUUAUUGCAAAUGCAUUGGACCAUAGCUAACAUUUCCAACGGAUCAAUCAAAAUCACGUGCUCUCAUGUUUUUUUAACAUCCCUAUUAACCUGAAUUUGUUAUUUCUUAUGUCCCACCAACUUCACUUUAUUCUUGGCCGUUAAUUUCCUGAUUUGUUCACACACCCAUGUCGGCCCUUUCUGUGACAAAUUAGAUUACGUGCCAUCAACACCAUGUGAUCAUAAUAGAAAAUGAUCGUAUGGUUAAGGUUUGUUGUGUUUCUACUAAUGGUCUUAUAUGAUGUACUUGAAUCGUUAACCGACCAAAUCAGCAUCGAUUGAUGAUUUCAAAUUUCCCCACUUCACAUCAUAUCUAAAAUUUAUUUUUGAAAAGAAAAUAGUUAAACACGUCUUGGUAAAAUAUCUUUAUCUAAAAUAUUUCUAAAAUGUAAAUUUUAUAAGUGUAUUUAAAUCAAAUUAAACGGGGAAAGGUGGGCAUGCUAAUUUUCCAUCCCCUUCAGCUUUUGUUUUGAAAAAAAUUUAAAAAUUUUAAUCACAUUAAAAUAAAUAUAGUUUUAUAAAUAAUUAAAAUAUUAUAAUUAUUAUUAUUAUAUAUUAAAAAUAAGAUAAUUAAAUUAAAUUAUUUUUUAAAAUUAAUUUUAUAUAUAAUUAGAUUGAGAUGAGGCAAAACAAGACAAUUCCUAAACUCGACCCGAACUCAUCCCAAAUUUAUUUAAAUUCUAAACCCAUCCCGUUAUGUGUAAGGCAGAUUUCCCAAAAAGCUUAUCCUCAUUUGUUACAUUUUGUAUUUUUUUAAAUAUAUAUAUAUAUAUAUAUAUAUAUAUAUAUAUAUAUAUAUAUAUAUAUAUAUAUAUAUUUUGCUUAGCUCAUUUUUGAGAAAUUAAAAGUUAUAUUUUAAACCAAAUAUCAACAUUUUCGUAAGAUUUAACUUAUAUUAGAACUUCUGUAAACUUUAAUAAAACUUUUAUAAUAGUUUUUUUUUCAAUGAACUAUUUUGAAUACAAUUCUCGAUCAUUAACUCAUAAACUAAAUAAACACACGAUUUUAUGCUUCUAUGGUACACUUCAUUGUAUAUAUUGACAACUAUGUUUCAAUGAUGUUUUUAUUAAAAUUAAGAAUAAUUUUGAAAAUUUGAAAUUUGCUUAUCCAUUCACAUUUAAAAAGGAUGCAUUUAGGACUUUUUUUUUUAAAAGGGCAAUAAAUCACACUUAAAACAUGGACUCACAAAUGAAAGUUUUAUUUUAAACAUUCUUAAAAUUAGUGAUUAAAGGUCCAAUUUAAUUGGGUUUUGAAGAAAAAAAAAUCAACAUGAUCAGUUUAUAUUUAAAUCAAAUCAAAUCAAACUCUCAAUGAUAGAAAAACUAAACAAAAUCAAACCCAUAUUAUUCAACAUUGGUUUGUUCGAUUUAUAUAAUUGAUUGAAUGCAAGCUAAUUUAUGUCUUAAGUUCAAUUAGUUUUUAAAAUUAUAUUUGACAAAAAAAAUAUGAAAUGUUAAUUAUUCUUAGAUAACUAAUUAAAAUUUAUAUUUUAUAAACUUGGGUUCCUAUUUUGUGAUUUUUUUAUAUGAGUGUAUGGAAUCAUGCUUUUCCCUUAAAAAUAAAAAAUUAUGCAAAAAUAUUAUUGUAAAAAUUGCAUGUAUAAUACUAAUAUUAAAUUAUAAUUAUUUAGUAAAUUUUAUUAGCCCAAGUGAUAUUUAAUAGGAGGGGGGAAGUAUUUGUUGGCUUACUCAAUCUCAUCUCGCGCAAGUGAAAAUUAAGUUUUGUUUGGAUUAUCAUCAUUUUGGAGAAAACAACAAAAGGAUGAAAAUGAUAAAAAUAAAAAUAAAAUCAAAUAAUUUAAAGAACACGAUCUCAUUUGUUGGCUUUAGAUUAUUUGUACUUUAAAAGUAAUUUAAUUUAAAUUAUUAUAUAAAUUAAGUAUGUUUGAUAAAAUAAUUUAAUAUUAUAAUUUAUAGUUAAAAUGAUAUUAAGUAUUAGGUAAAAAUAAUUUAUUUAUUUUUAAUUUUAAAUAUUUUUUGUUUUAUUUUAAGAUUAAUGAAAAUAAAUAUUAAAUAAAAUUAACGAUGAUAAAUAUUAAUUAUAAUUAGUAAGGACAAAUAUGUCAAUUUGAUUAAAUUUUAUCCGACGUCCACUUAAUCUUCUAAUAUUAUAUUUUGUUUUUAUUUGUUUGCAUUUUAUGAUGGGUGCUUUGGAAUUUUCAUGAGUAGUCACACCGGCGCGUCCGUGACUAACGGACACGUACAACUCGACGGACACGGCAGUGGGCCCCACAUUUUAGGUUGGCGAACCGUGCACGUCGGCCGAUAAUACCCAGUUACCCAUUUCCGUAUGGUGACUUUAGACAAAAGUGUGAUGCGCUGUCAUCCAUGUGACGACAAAAAAAAAGAAAAAAAGGGUUGGAUAAUGCUAAUGAACAUCUCUCAUCUCUCCGGUUUUCUACUGGCCAAUCAUAUUUCGGCACGUCAGCAAUGAGAUAAGGUGGAAAUUUUAAUUCUUUUACUUAUAAAUUUAAUGUAAUGAAGCAUUUGUAAAAUUUCUUCCUAUUUAUUAAUAAAAUUUAAAAUUAUUCAGUUUAAGGCCAUAUGUUUGAUUAAAAAAAAUUAAAGAAAAAUAAUUGGGAAAGAAAAUAAAGAGAAAAAAUAAAUAAAAAAUAUAUUUUAAUCUUAUAAAUUAAUUGUUAUAAAUUUAUUUUUAGUAACCAAACAUACUAUAAAUUUAUUAUUAUUUUUUUAUUUUUCUUUUCAUGAUAUUUGAUAUAAAGAUUUUAAAUUAAUUAAACAAUAUAAAAGCCAAUGACAUGAAAAUAAAAGGUAAAAAGGUUUACUUAUCUGGGCCACGUUAUAUAUAUCAUAAAUUAAAAGUCACAAUAAACAUUAAAAAAGUUUUUUUGAAAAAAGAAAAAAAUUAAGAGUAUGCACGACAAUAAAUUUAAGAAAUGUUUUUAACAUUUCUAAUACUUAAAUUUUUUUUUAUUUUUUUAAGAGUUUGUUUGAUAGUGAUUAUAGAAAGUGUUUUUAAUAUUUUUAGUACUUGAAAAUUUUUAUCAUUAAAAUGUUAGAAAUAUUAAAAACGUUUUUUAGAAUUAUUCCAAAACGUAGUCUAAGUAUUAGAAAUAUUAAAAACACUUUUAAAAAAUCAUUCCAGAUAAACUCUAUUCUAAAAAUACUUUCGGAAAAAAUACUAUCAUUAAAAAUACUUUGAGUAUAAUUUUCUAAAAUCAUUAGUAAACAUACCGUUCUUUAAAGUGGGUCUUCCACUGAUUUUGAAAAGUGUUGCUAAUAUUUUUAAUACUUAAAAAAUAAAAAAUUUUAAUUAUUAAAAAUAUUAAAAACACUUUUCAAAUCACUAAAAAACACAUUCUAAUAAAUGAUAUAAAUUAAUUAAUUAAUUAUAUCCUCUAUCCAUUUGUACAUGGCAGAGAAUUUGUGGAUUACCUUAUUUAUUUCCUGUUCACAUUAUUAAAAGUUUUUAUUAUUAUUUUUUGAAAUUAAAUUAAUCAAAGGCAUUCAAUCCUAUACCAAAAAGCACUUUUCCCUUCAAAAAAUAACAAAACAAAAUAAGUGAAAUUUUAAAUUGCUAGAUGAAUUUAAAAUAAUAUACAUGGAAUUGUGUUAAAUAAUAAAUUUUCUUAAAAUUGUAUUCAUGAAAAUAUUUAUAAAAAAAAGUCUUUUUAAGUUUAUUUAUCAUAAAAAAUAAAAAAUAAAAAAUUAAAUUUUAUGUAUUUUUAAAUUAUUUAAAUUUUAUAUAAAAAAUUAAAAUAAAUGAAAUGAAUAUGAAAUAGUAGUUUUGUAACAAGAAUCAAUGUGAUGCUAAGGAACCGUGUGAAUGCAUAUUGUAAGAAUAAUUUUACUUUUUGGAAAUAAAAACUUUGAAAGUGAUAGGUUACCAAAUUUGGAUAUUUUUUCGGGGACGGUGUUGGUAAAUUUAGAAUUUUUUGAACAACCUAAAAGCACUUUUUGAUAAGUCAAAUUUCAAACUGAAUCCAGGCCCUCAAUCAGCAUUAACUGAAUUGUGGAAAAGUCAACAAGUGGUUUGGCAACCAAGAAAAUGGCUAAAAUUAAAUGGCUUUAUCAGUGUAUCACCAAGUGGAUAUUUAUGAUAUUGUCUUGUGUCUAUCCAUGAAAAACUCUUCCUUUAGGCUGGGAAAUAUGAGAAGAAAACAAAAUACAAGAUUGAGUUUAGGAAUCUCUUUGUGAUAUUUUAGAUAGGAGAGUUAAUCACGCUAUGUAAGUAUAAGAUUCUUUUAACUUUAUAGAUAUUUUUUAAAGUCGUGAAAGUUUUUUUGUAUUUAAAAUAAAUAAUAUUUAUACGAUUGGAAUCAUAUAAUUACAAAUGACAUUAUAAUCGAUCUCUAAUUUUGAUGUGAAGGUUUGUUUGAUCUUACAAGCAGUGUUUAUCUGUUUGACCCUAUAAUUUUCUGAAACACAAGGAAUGCACUACAAAGAUAUUGUGUCUGUAAUGUGCACACAUUUAAAAAUGGUGAGACCUUUAAGUUUAGAACAAACAAUAUUUACACCAUUAAAAACGGAUCAUUACAUUAUUUCUCCAUCAUUUUUAAAAUAUAUAAAAUAUUUUAAACCCCAUACCUCUUGUUUUUUGUUUUUUUUUUUGCCUUACAAAAAAAUGAUAAAAAUUAUAUGUAUAUACAAUUUUAUAUAUAUAUAUAUAUAUAACACCAACUAAUGUACUAUAUAUAUGUAGCAAUCAGGUGUCUAAGCUUCAAAUUUAUUAUUAUUAUUUUCUUGUAGUUAGAUGUUGACCACGUCCCUAAUUGGAAAUCUAGAAUACCCAAAGUGGGACCAAAUCUAAAUAAGAAAUUUAUAUUUUUUUUAAACCUCCAUCAAAGAUCAAGAAAUUUGACUAGUUGGGGGUGUCUCUUAUCCCUCCAUAACUAAAGUCCACUUGAGUUCAAUUUUUUGGGGUGGGUCAAAUGGACUAGUGGUUGAAAUUUAUGUUAUACAAAUUGAAUGGAGGGACAAAUUUGGAAAGGUGGAUUUGAUCAUCAACCAUAUAUUUUUUUCAAAAAAAAUGAAAUAAAAAUUAACUUAAUAAAUUUGAGAAUAAAUAAAAUAAAAUAAAAUGGGUUGGUCAUUGGAUGGCCACUUUUUUUUUUAGAACUUUUAUUUUAUUAAAAUAAUUAGAAAAUAAAAAUAAAAUGGGUUGGUCGGUGGAUAUACUUUUUAAAAAAAGAAUUUAACAUUGUUUAUUUUUUAAGAAAUAAUUAAGAAAAAAAAAAAAAACUAAAAUGGGUUGGUCAUUGAUUGACUACAUUUAAAUUUUUUUUUUUUUUAAAUAAUUAGAUUUGUUAAUUUCAGAGAGAGUCAAAGUAGGGUUGCCACCGUCCAUUUUUUUUAGUGUGGGGAGGCUUAGGAAUAAAGAGUCAUACCUUUGGCUUUAAUUGAGGAUCUCAAAAGGUGGGAUAGGUCAAAACCUAGAUGCAGAGUUGCCAUUUGUCAUUUUCAUUUAUUUAUUUUUUCUUUGGUGCUUUCCUCGUUAAGCGGGAAAGUGAAAUUACAAAACAAAAACACAAGGAUUCAUUCCAAACUCCAAAGUAAAGGAAGAUGUGGGGCUGGUUUAUUGCCAUCCCUUUUAGGGUACCUUGAUGUGGAGAGGUCCAUUGUAGUUGCCCUACACAUUUGUGAUUUUAAAUUUUAUUAAUUAUUAUGUUUUAAUUGGUAUUCAAGGGUGACAUUUAAAAUUCAUUUGGUGAUGAUUUUGAAAAACGUUUUUAAUAUUUUUGACACAUAAUUUUAUUUAUUUAUAUUAAAAUAACGAUAUUUAAGUGUUAAAAAUGUUAAAUAUACAUCUAAAAAUGAAUAAAUACCGUUAUAUUAUAAAUAAAAGAAAUCAUGAUAAGAGUCAGAAUUGUGAAUUUUAUUGAAGUGUUUAUAAAAAUAUAUGAGAAUAAAAUUAAUUAUUAUAAAGUCUUUUAUAUAAAUAAAUAACAAAGUUUGAUAUUAGUGUUGGCUAAAUAAAUUAAAAUAUGUAUUAGACCAUCUAUAUUUUUAUUUUUAUUUUUAUUUUUACAAUAAUUGUUAAUUUUUAAAAAUAAUUAGAUUAUUAAAGAGAGAUUCAAAGUAGGGUUCCACCUUCCAUUUGUUUAACAAAGGGUAGAAAUUAGGAAUAAAGAGAUACCUUUGUAAGAGAAUCUCAAAAGCUAUGAGAAGAAGCCAAACCCUAGGUUUAGGCGUGCCUUUACUCUUUGUUUCCUCUCCACCCACAAAAAACGAAAGGAAGAAAAAAGAAAGGGAAUAGAAUAAAGGUGAAUUUAAGGUAUUUUUUUCUUUUUCUAUUCAUUUUAUUAUAUUUAUUUUUAUAUUGACUUUAUCUUUUCAAAAGACGGGUUUAUAUGUAAAUAAAAUAUGAUCGAUUUAAAUUAUUUUUGGGAUAAGUGUAUUUAAAUUUUUUUAAUUAAAUAUAUAUAUUUUUUCAAAGUUGAUUAAACAAGGAUAUAAAUUUUGAUCAAAUUAAAAAAAAAAAAAUUGAAAAUUUGCAGGAUAUCGUGUUGUAACCCACUAAAUAUUGAAAAAAAAAAUCCAUGAAAUAUAAAACAAAAUGAUAAAACCUAGAGUGAUCUGUCUUUUCGUAUUGACACGUAAGCACCAUGCACCCAUUUUCUUCCCCACAAUUUCUGCCUAAACAUGAGGAGGAAGCAUUAUCCACGCACAUACAAAAAGCUCCAUUGAUUUUGCCUUGACCAAAAUAGUGGCAAAUGGAUAUAUCAAUUACCAAGAAAAGAGUAAAAUAAAUAAAAAGGUUCGUCAUUAAUUUCUAAUGUUUUAGUUGGUAUUCAUGCCAUUGAUGAGGCAAGUUGCUCCCCAUCUACCUAUCAAACUUUUGAUAACUUUCAUUGAUUUUAUUUUUUCAACUAUUUUUUUUUUCAAUUUGUUUAAGCUUAAUUAAGAUCCAAGGGUCUCAAAUUUUUUAAUUUUUUAAUACUUAUUGUUUAUAAUUAUUUUACAUAACUUCCAUAAAUAUAGAAUUCAAAAUAAAAUCUAUAAAUCCUCAAGGCUAGGUUUGAAUCAAAGAGAAAAAGAAAAUCAAAUAUAAUAAAAAUUAUUCAAAAAAUAAAUCUUAUUUUGUAUUCUCCUUUAUUUAUUUAUUUUCCUUUUUUUUCUUUAUCUCAAAAUUUUCAAAAGCUUGAGCAACUUAUCAUGCAAAUAAACAUUUUCUUCAUAAUAUCAAAUAUGUAUUAAUAAAAUGAUACCAUACCAUGUUAAAUGUCAAGAAUUAAUAAAAAAAGGGUGACUCUUUGAUAUCCAAAAAUAUUUUUCAAUAUUACAUUAAAUAUUUUUAUCCAAUUUUAUAACGGUGUAAAAUAAGAAUGUGAUAAAGGUACAAAAAGAUCAAAUAAUAUUAGGGGGUACAACUUGGGUAGAUUAGCCCGACCCAACCUGAUGUUUAGAUCGGUUUGAGCAAAUAUUUUUAAUACUUGGGGUUGAGCUUGAAUUAAGUUUUUUGAACUUGAACUUAAUUUUGAUUGGGUUUAAACUAAGAUUUGGACAACCAAACCCUAACCCAAACUCAUUUUUAAUAAACUCUAUUUGAUAUUUUUAUAAUAUUUAUAAUGUUUAUUAUCUUAUAUGAUAAUGUUUAUUUUUUUUAUAUAGAUUUUAAAGAAAAAAAAAUCAAAUUGUAAUUGUAUUACAUAUUUUUUUUUCAUUUUUUAUAAAGAUAAAUAAGUUUAUUUUAUUUUUUAAUUAUUAUCUUAAAGUUUUAUUUUAUUUACUAUUUAAAUUUUGAUAUAAAUAUAUAGAAUUAUAAAAAUCAAAUUUUUUAUAACCAUUAUGGAAUUUGAAUCAUACAGUCAAAUCAACUUGACCAAUUCGAAUCGAACCGAGUCAACUUGAGUUUAAUUUAAUCAACCAAAGUUUAGCUUGACCGAUCCGAGUUUAGAAAAAUGAGAUUGAGUUAAGUUUAGGUUGGAUGCCUCGAGUUAGAAGUUGAGUUGAGUUUAAGUUGAUUGUUUCUUAAUUUGAAUUUGGCUCAAGUUAACCAUUGGCCAACCAUCCCAUUUAAGUUACAAUCUUAAAUACUACUAAAAAAAAGAAGUGUGAGUAAUAUAUAUAUAUAUAUAUAUAGAGUAUAUCUUGAAAAGUGUUGAAAGUUUCAAAUACAAAAUGGUAAGAAUUUAAUUUCCCAUUAAUUGCAAAUUAGAUUUGAUAUUUACUUAGUAAAACCCCUUUAUGAAGUGGGCCUUUGGAAGUCGGCAAACCAAACAACCAAAAGCAAUGAACUAACAAACAGCAACUAACUCGAAAGAGUCGAAGUACUUCUGUAAGAUAUUUGAUGAGACACCAUGGACCCAUUGGCAGUUGCCCACCGUUCUUCCCAUUCAUUUUUGCUGGCAAAUGGUCCUCCCUCCAUCCCCACUGCCCCUUUUCCUACUCAACCUCAUUAUUUGGCUGUCAGACUAUACAGGAGGGAAGGAAAAAGGUUAUGCUUGGGUUUGAGAAAUGUUUGAAAGAAGACGAGAGAUAAAAAGAAAAUAGAAAAAAAUUAUAAAUAUAUUUAAAGUGAAUAAAUAAUCUUUUAUAAUUACUUUAAACUCAUUUAACUUAUUUUAACUUUUCGAUAUAAAAAAAAAUAAUUCAACAAGUAAACAUAAGAAAAAUUUUUCUUAAAUUUUUUUUUUUAGAAACUAAAUAUAACCUAAGAAAAAUAAGCAUCGAUAAGGUAGAGAUCUUUUUGAAGGGGCAUUUACCUAGAUUUUUUAAUGAACUUAUAGCAUUUAAAAAAGAAUUGUAAAAUUAAUAAUUAUAAAAUUAUGAGAUGAAACCAAACCCUAGGUUGAGGCAUGCCUUUACUCUUUGUUUCCUCUCCACCCAAAAAAAACAAAAGGAAGAAAAAAAAGGGAAUAAAACAAAGGUGAAUUUAAGGUUUUUUUUUUUCUCUUUUUCUUUUCAUUUUAUUAUAUUUAUUUUUAUAUUAAUUUUGUCUUUUCAAAAGACGGGUUUAUACAUAUAUAAAAUAUGAUUGAUUUAAAUUAUUUUUGGGAUAAGUGUAUUUAAUUUUUUUAAUUAAAUAUAUAUAUUUUAAAAAUUGAUUAAACAAGGAUAUAAAUUUUGAUCAAAUUAAAAAAAAAAAGUUUUGAAAAAUUGUAGGAUAUCGUGUUGUAACUUGUAACCUACUAAAUAUUGAAUCUCAGCGGUUGAAAAAAAAAUAUAUCCAUGAAAUAUAAAACAAAAUGAUAAAACCUAGGGUGAUCUAUCUUUUCGUGUUGACACGUAAGCACCAUGCACCCAUUUUCUUCCCCACAAUUUCGGCCUAAACAUGAGGAGGAAGCAUUAUCCACGCACAUGCAAAAAGCUCCAUUGAUUUUGCCUUGACCAAAUGGAUAUAUCAAUUACCAAGAAAAUAGUAAAAUAAAUAAAAAGGUUCGUCAUUAAUUUCUAAUGUUUUAGUUGGUAUUCAUGCCAUUGAUGAGGCAAGUUGCUCCCCAUCUACCUAUCAAACUUUUGGAAACUUUCAUUGAUUUUAUUUUUUCAAUUUGUUUAAGCUUAAUUAAGAUCCAAGGGUCUCCAAUUUUUUAAUGUUUUAAUACUUAUUAUUUAUGAUUAUUUUACAUAACUUCCAUAAAUAUAGAAUUCAAAAUAAAAUCUAUAUAAUCCUCAAGGCUAGGUUUGAAUCAAAGAAAAUAUUCGAUAAAGAGAAUCAAAUAUAAUAAAAGUUGUUCAAAAAAUAAAUCUUAUCUUGUAUUCUCCUUUAUUUAUUUAUUUUCCUUUUUAUUUUCUUUAUCUCAAAAUUUUCAAAAGCUUGAGCAACUUAUCAUGCAAAUAAACAUUUUCUUCAUUAUAUCAAAUAUGUAUUAAUAAAAUGACACCGUACCAUGUUAAAUGUCAAGAAUUAAUAAAAAAGGGUGACUCUUUGAUAUCCAAAAAUAUUUUUCAAUAUUACGUUAAAUAUUUUUAUCCAAUUCUAUAACCAUGUAAAAUAAGAAUGUGAUAAAGGUAAAAAAGAUCAAAUGAUAUUAGGGAGUGAAACUUGGGUAGGUUAGCCCAACCCAACUUGAUGUUUAGACGGGUUUGAGCAAAUAUUUCCAAUACUUGGGGUUGAAUUUGAAUUAAGUUUUCUCGACUUGAAUUUUAUUUGAUUGGGUUUAGACUAAAAUUUGGACAAUCAAACCCUAACCCAAACUCAUUUCUAAUAAACUUAAUUUGAUAUUUUUAUAAUAUUUAUAAUGUUUAUUAUCCUAUAUGAUAAUGUUUAUUUUUUUUAUAUAUAUUUUAAAGAAAAAAAAUCAAAUUGUAAUUGUAUUAUAUAUUUUUUCAUUUUUUAUAAAGAUAAAUAAGUUUAUUUUAUUUUUUAAUUAUUAUCUUAAAGUUUUAUUUUAUUUACUAUUUAAAUUUUGGUAUAAAUAUAUAGAAUUAUAAAAAUUAAAUUUUUUAUAACCAGUAUGAAUUUUGAAUCAUACAAUUAAAUCAACUUGACCACUUCGAAUCUAACCGAGUCAACUUAAGUUUAAUUUAACCAACCAAAGUUUAACUUGACCAAUCCAAGUUUAGAAAAAUGAGAUUGAGUUAAGUUUAGAUUGGAUGCCUCGAGUUAAAAAUUGAGUUGAGUUUAGGUUGAUUAUUUCUUAAUUUGAAUUUGACUCAAGUUAACCAUCGGCCAACCAACCUAUUUAAGUUACAAUCUUAAAUACUACUAAAAAAAAUGAAGUGUGAGUAAAUCAUAUAUAUAUAUAUAUAUAUAUAUAUAUAUCUUGAAAAGUGUAGAAAGUUUCAAAUACAAAAUGGUAAGAAUUUAAUUUCCCAUUAAUUGCAAAUUAGAUUUGAUAUUUACUUAGUAAAGCCCCUUCAUGAAGUGGGGCCUUUGGAAGUCGGCAAACCAAACAACCAGAAGCAAUGAACUAACAAACAGCAACUAACUCGAAAGAGUCGAAAUACUUUUGUAAGAUAUUUGAUGAGACACCAUGGACCCAUUGAUAAUUGAUUUUCAUAUUUAUUGGCAGUUGCCCACCAUUCUUCCCAUUCAUUUUUGCUGGCACAUGGUCCUCCAUCCCCAUUCCCCACUGCCCCUUUUCCUACUGACAAUUGUGUUUUGGAUCUAGUUGGGUCCAAAAAUUAAGAUUUGAUCCAUGAAAAUUGUAUAAUUGAUGGGAAGGAUAUAAAAUUUAAAGAGACCAAUAUAUCCUUCAAAACUAUUUUGAAUAUUUUCUACUAUAGUGUUUGACAAACUUUUUUAUUUUAAUUUUUUUAAUAAUUAUUAUGAAAAUUUAUUAUUUUUAGAAAAUAAUUUUAAAAUAUAUAUUCUAAAAAUAUAUCAUUUAAAAAAAAAUAAUUUUGACAUAUUUUUUGUUAAUUUUUACAUACAUAAUUUUAAAUAUAUAUAUUUUCCAAGAUGUUUGAUUUUUAAAUAAUAAUAAUAAUAAUAAUUUAUUUUUAUUUUUUUUGGAAAAUGGUGUAUUUUUUCCAAAUCACUAAAUUAAAUUAAAUUAAAAUUUAUUGAGGUUUACAAAAGGAAUAAAAUUUAAAUUAAUGUUUUUCCAUUUUUUUUUUCAUAAUAAAUAAAGGUCAUUUUUGGAAAGAUAAAAAAUUCAUAUCCUUCUUCUCAAUUUCCACACUUUCUCUAGGUCUUGGGUUGAAAUAGUGAACUUAUAUGGAUCAAAACUUAAUUUUUAGGUCCAACUAGGUUCAAAACAUAAUUGUCCCACCUCAUUAUUUGGCUGUCAGACGAUCAUUCAUCCCUUUAACAAGAAAAUCCAGGAGGGAAAGAAAAAAGGUUAUGCUUGGGUUUGAGAAAUGUUUGAAAGACGACGAGAGAUAAAAAGAAAAUAGAAAAAAAUUAUAAAUAUAUUUAAAGUGAAUAAAUAAUUUUUUAUAACUACUUUAAACUUAUUUUUUUUUUAAUAGCUUCCUACAACCAAAUAUAACAUAAAAAAACUAAAUUAAAACAAUAGAUUAAAAAUUAAUAAAUUUCUUUCAACUCAUUUUACUUGUUUUUUUUCUCAUUUACAUAAAGAUGAAAUAAUUUGAAUAUUUUUUUAACUAAUCAAGGUAUUGAAAAAAUUUAUUAUCUCAAAUUUUAAUUGUGAUGUUUUACAUCGAAUAUGAGAAAAAGUUCAUGAUACUAUAUUAAUAUGAUUUUUUUUUUUAAUCUUGUAGACGUGAUUCAAAGCUGUAAGGACCAUUUUUGGGUUUAAAACGAAUAAUAUUUACGGAUGGUUGGGUGUGGAUUGAUCAUUGACUUUGGUGUGCGAGAGUUUGUUUGAUCUUGUAGAGAGUGCUUAUUUGUUUGACCUUACAAUCCCAUGUGUUUGCAUAAAAGGAUGUUUAUAACUUCACAUAUUGAAUAAAUAUGUGAUAAAGUUUUUGUGUUGUAUCAGUAUGAGCUUUUCUUAACCUUGUAAGCAUGUUUUAAAGCCGUAAUGACUUAUUUUAGGUUUAAAAAGCAUAAUAUAUAUACAGUUAAGUGUGAGUCAUUACAUUAAUAUUUUUAAAAGUGAUUUUCAAAGGUAUAAGAUAAAUUUAAACUUUUUGUACAAGAUGCUCUACUUUAAGAUAAAAGUUUAUGAUUUCAAACAUAAGAGAUAGGAAGUGUAUCCAAAUGGAUGCUUAACAUAUUAUUAUUUAUUUUAUUUUUACAUUGAUCCAAUCAUAAAUCAGAAAUGAUAAAUAGGGUUUCGUAAUCUUUAAUUUUUUUGACUAGCUUACCAUUAUAAAAAUACUAAUGUUAUAUCAUAUUUUCACAAUUAUAAUGGGAUGUUAGGGUUUCUUAGUCUUAAUCGAUUUGAUAUUGACUAUCAAUCCAUAUUAUUCAAUAAUUCUUUUAAGCUUUUGGGAUUUUGAUAACAUGCACCCACAUUUUUUUUUUGUAAUAUUUUGUGAUGGGUUUUGAUUUUUUUUUAAGGGUCAAGAUAUGAUGAUUCAAGAAAAAGACAAGUAUUAAGAAUGAUUCUUCAUUGACAAGGAACCAAAUUGAAAGUUGGAUCAUGGUGAUAGGCAAUUGACAUAGAAAAUUUGAUUUGCCAACUCAUGACAUGAAAGCCCAAACUUGAACUUGAAGUUAGGAAACUAUAUACAAUUCCACUUUAUCAAAGUUGAAAUGAUCUUCAACCUCAAUGCUAGAUCUAGAUUCUUUCCUUAGUGGAAAAGCUUUGAACACUAUUCCUUUAAACUUAUCUCUUUACUUAUGGUUAUAACCAUUUUUCUUUCCUAUUCCAACCUUGAAUGGGGUUCACAUCAAUCCUUUGAUUUUUUUUUUGUUGGGUCAACCCCUUUGAUAGAUUUGAGCGCACAACUAAAAAGAAAUUGGGUCAUGAUGUGGGCUAGGGUCCAAAGCCUAGACAUGGUCCAAUUCCAAUUUAAGGGGUCCAUGGGAGGAAUUCUAAGCCCAUAAGCAUAGCAAAUGAAUGAUUUUUACAAUGAAGAACUUUAAGCUAUUAUUAGUUGUUGGAAAAUUUGGGGGAAAAUAUAAAGGGAAGAAAAAAUGAAGAAAAAAAAAUAAAAAUAUGAAGUUAAAAAUUCUUUUUAUAUGCUACUCAAACUCAUUUAACUUAUUUUAACUCUUCGAUAUAAAAAUUAAAUAAUUUUAAAAUGUAAAACUUUUAAUUAUAUAUAUAUAUAUUAUAUUUUCUACAAGACAAGUAAACAUAAGAAAAAUUUUCCUUAACUUUUUUCUUUUUGAAAACCAAAUAUAACCUAAGAAAAAUAAGUAUUGAGAAGGUAGGGAUCUUUUUGAAGGGGCAAUUACCUAGAUUUUUGAUGAACUUAUAGCAUUUAAAAAAGAAUUGUAAAAUUAAUAAUAUAAUGAAAAAAAUAUAGUGGAUCGAUUUAGCUCCAUAGAUGGUAGGUUGGUGUAAUAUAAAAUCGUCUCUUGAAAAGAUAAUUUUUUAUUUUUUAUUUUUGAUGUUUUCCUUCUAUAGAGGGAGAGGUGUGGCAUUUAGAGGGAUGUCGUCUCUUCUCACGUCAGUAUAUCGAGAUCAUCUUUUUAAGAGGCAAGUUUAUUUUUCUCAUCUUCAUAAAAAUAAUGAUAGAAUUAAAAUUGCUUUCGAAAUUGUCAUUUUCUAUAUUUUUUUAUUCAGUUGUAAUUAGGAAAAAAGGAAGAAAAAACCCUACUUACCCUCUUUCAUAACUUCAUCCGUAGUCCAACUACUAGAAUCAGAGAUCACCCUAAUCUUGGAUCACAUGCUAAAAGAAUUCUUUUGUCUAAUGAAGCACCGGUUUUUUUGUCUAAAUUUUCAGAGUAGAAUGCUGAAAUGCUCAUGGCACAUUUCACAAAAUUCAGAAUAAAACAAUUAAAGAGCAACCAAAAUAAUAAACAAAAAACUAAAUUAUAUGUCAAACAAUUAAUCAAUCAUAUUCUUCAUGCAACAAGGCCUCAAUCCAAUGAACUAACCAAAAAGCAAAAAAAGAAAAAGAAAAAAAAGAAUGAACACCAAAACUUCCAAAAAUUCUCUCAUUUUCUACCUUCAAUGGUUCUACUUUUAGAACCAUUUGGCAAAACCAUCAAGAGCAUAAACCAAAAGCAAAGACAAUGGAUACAGUAAGUAUGCAACGAUCGAUGUCCAGACUGGGAAGGUGGAGCGCAAGCUUGCAAACAUGCCCAUCACCACGCAUACGAUCAUAACAACGAGUACUUCAGCCGAGAAAUCCCAUGUCAAUUCGCGUACGUAAAUUAUGGACAAUAGUACUGAAAUCCCUAGGACAUUGUUCAUGAAGACUCCUCCAUAGAUCUGCAUAUCAUCACAUCACUAAGUAUUAAUCCUCCAAAGAUUAUAAAGCACUUAUACAGAUGCUAUCAGCCACAUUUCAUUAUCACAUGGACUAUAUAUACUUUUUUCUUUUUGUGCAUGUAAAUAUUAGCAUAUACUAGAUUGAUGAAAUGGAUCGGAAUAGUAAUUAUGGGGGGCAGACCUCAGAAAAUGUCAAGGAAGUAGUUCUUUCUUUUCUUCUACUCGCGGCGGAGAUCGCUGAAGUUGCAGCCCUAGCGUUGGUAGCUAACGGGACGAGGAUGAAUGCGAUGAAAAACGACGAUAUAUUAGCAGCUGUUGAGAAGGAUUGUACACUAUGUAUGAGGGGUUCUGCUAGAACAGAUAGAAUAAGAAUUCCAGCCAACAAAAGCAUUAUGGCCUUGAACCAUGCCCAAGGAGAUUUAUCAACUGGCCCUGCACUGGUCUGUUCUACCAACUCGUCUGUCUCUUUCCAAGCUUUCUGCAUCAUCAUGAAGUGUAUAAAUACUUUUAAUAUUGUUUCAAGGAGUCAAGGUAUUGUUUUUGGUGAAUACCUAACCCAAACCUAACCCGAACCUAACCCAAUAUAUAGAUGAGUUUUAACGAUCAUUUUCAAUUUUCGGCCCAAGCCUUGGACAACUCAAGUUUGACCCAAACUUCAUUUAAUAUUUUUAUAAUAUUUAUAAUGUAAAAUUUUUAAGAAAAAAAUAUUAAAUUAUAUUUUAUCAUAUAUUUUUAUAUUUUUAAAUAGAUAUAUAAAUUUAUUUAUUUAUUUAUUUUGCUAUCCUAAAAUUUUGUCUCAUUUGGGGUUUACAUUUUCAUAUAAAUAUAUAGAAAAAAUUUCUUAAAACACAUUAUAGAUGAAUUUUGAAUUUUACAACUUGAUCAACCCGGGUCUAAACUCACCAACCUAAACUUAAAAAAAUGGGAUUAAGUUGUGUCUCUUCCUUUAAAGGUAAAAUUGGGUUAAAUUUGGAUUUAUUUGUUUAUUUUUUAAUUUGAAUUUGACUUAAAUUGAUCAUCAACAUGAUCAAUCCGUCAAAGUUACAUUCACUUACAAGGAAUAUUUCGUCGUUCGGUUUGGGCGACUGCAGGGCCUGAUGGCUGGAAAUGUUAACCCAUUUGGCAAGGCCUUGGAUGAACUCCUCCUCAUCGAUUAAUCGGUCUCCAUUGACGUCAAGUUUUUCCAUUAUUCUUGCGACCGCUUCGUCUACGUCUAGCGGCAUGUCUCCAAACUUGAUGCUCAUAAUGAGUUCUUUUAGUUCAGCUUGUGAUAUGCAAUUGUCUCCAUCAAGAUCAAUUCUCUCAAAGAGGCUGUAAAUCGAAUUAGCGCAAGAGCCUUAGAACUAUUAUAUGGGUUCCAAGAAAUAAUAAGGAUAUGAAAAAAAAAUAGUAAGAAAAAUAAUUUUUUAUAUUUAAUUUUAAUAUAGGAAACAUAAAAAAAUUAAAUAUAAUUAAAAUUAAUUAGUUAAAAAUUUAUAUAAUUUUAAAUUAUUUAAUUUUUAUAUAAAAAACAUAAAAAUAAGUGAAAUAAAUUUAAAAUAAUAUAUAAAACUUGACAUUUUUUCCUUCAUAUUUUCUCUUAAGGUUUUCAUGAAUAAAAUAUGAUCUUAUAAAAAUUAAUAAUUCAAAAGAAUAUUCAACAUUUGAUUAAUCAAACAUCCUGAAUUCAAAUUUAUAAUUUAUUUGUUAUUACUUCCUAUCUAUUGAGCAUGCAUGAUAUAUAUUAUGACCCCAAAUCCGAACAACUUAAGAAAGUCCGUAACGCAACAUCCUUAAAAAAACCUUGUAACACGCAAGAACAGUCUAAUUAAAAGAAUUGUAAUAUGCUAUCUUACCUUUUUAUAUUUGCUAUAUCCGGCGUGUUAUCCUCUUUAAGCAGGCUUCCUAGGCCACUGUUUUGAACAUGUCUUAAAAUCCCAGACAUCAAUUUUUCCUUCAUUUCUUUUUCGUUCCUUCUCUUUAGAAUCCAAGGCCGAAGAACCUAAACAACAACUCGACCAAAUCAAAAACCAAAUAUUUGUUUGCUCAUUUGAAAAUGUUUUUAAAAACACUUUCAGUCUAAAUUUAAAGAAAAAAAAAAAAAGCUUCAACAAAAUUUGCAAAACACUUUUUAAAUAUUGAAAAAUAACUUUUAAUGUUUUGUCCGGAAAUAUUUGAUAAAUGAUUAUUCCAAAAACACUUUUAAGGAAAAUAUUUUCACUAAAUACUUAGAAUAGAAACACGGUUAAUAAACAUGCGUUUUAUAAUAAUUCUAGAAAGUGUUUUUAACUUCUUUUUUUUAAAUAUUUCAAGUAAUAGAAAGACUAGAACAACUUUUUAAAAUUGUUAUAGAUAGUCUUAACCCAUUUAAUAGUAAUUUUAUGAAAUGUUUUUAAUAUUUUUAAAACUUAAAUUUUUUUAUUAUUUAAGUAUUAAAAAUGUUAGAAAUAUUUUUUAAAAUCACUACUAAAUACAAGUGUAUGUUUGGUAGUGAUUAUUGGAAGUAUUUCUAAUAUUUUUAUUACUUGAAAUAUUAAAAAUAUUAAAAACGCUUCUUAUAAUCACUAUCAAAUAGAAUUUUAAUGUAAUUUAAUUUCACUAAAAAUACUUUGAAUACAAAUACUAUAAUUCGUUAGACAAUGAUUUAAAAAAACACUUUUAACAUAAUUAAAAGAGUUCUUGAACAAAACAAAAAGAAGGUAUUUAACAAAAUUUAAAAAACACUUUAAAAAAUCUAAAAUUAAAGAAUUAUAGCGUUUUCAAGGUAAACACUUGAUGAGCCAUUCUUUUCAAAACACUUAACAGAGAAAACCUUAUCAUUAAAAAUAUUCCGAAUAGAAACACUGUCAAGUGUACCAGCACUUCAAAAUCAACAUUAAUGUUGCAGACUUGCAGGCAUACCUGUUGUAGAUCUUUCAAUGAAUUAUUGGAGUAACUUCUGUCAUGCAAUCCUUUCUUUGUCUCAUCAAGCCAUUUUGAGAUCCCAGCUAUGAACUCAUCCUUUGUUAUUGUUCCGUCACCAUCAAUAUCAAACUGUCCUAGAACAUCUAGCACUGCAUCUUCCUUAUUGAUCAAGUGUGGUUUUCGAAACCUGAUCCCAAGAAGAAGCUCCUUGAUUUCAGCAGGCGAUAUAUAGUCAUCACCAUCAAGGUCUGUUUCCUCAAACAGCCUGCGAUUAGAUACAAGUAUAUGCUGUCAAACAUUUAAGUACAUAGAAAUACCGAAAAAUCAAGAUCAAAACAGUAUGGUAUACUUAAGGAAAGAUGAUCGCACCCUCUUAUAACACUUAUGUUCGGAGCUCCUUCGUCUGUGAGGAGUUUUCCUACAGCAUGUUCUUGGAAGUAUCGUAAAAUUCUUAUCACUAAAUGAUCAUGUUUUACGUACUCUAAUCUUCUUUGCUGAAUCCAAGGCUGAAAUAUCUGCAUAUUUUUCAAGUAAAAGUUUGAGGUAUAUUACAAAAAGUAAUGCAUCAAAAUGCAUAAUCCUAAUUCUUAAGUAAAAUUUUAAGGCACCGAAUCGAUUUCAUAAACUCCCGAUCCAAACGUAAGUAUAGAAAAUUUGUGUAGGUUAAUAAAGGUACAAAGAAAUGAGACAUAUAAUUAGAUAUACAAAAAAUAAAAUUAAAAUAUAAAUCAAUUUUGACCUAAUCAUGCUAAGGUACAAAUGAAUGACCAUUUUUACAAACUAUUUUCUUAUGACACUAAAAAAUAAUUUUAUAGUACUAAAAAUAACCUUAAAUAUGAUAUUGUAUAUAAGAUAGAGAAAAAAGUUUCUAAUACUAUAUAUGUAUGAGUUUCUUUUAACUUUAUAAACGUGUUUUAGAAUUGUGAAGACUUUUUGAGCUUAUAGUGAAUAAUAUUUAUAUAGUUAAGAACGAGUUGUUAUAGAAUAGUAUCAGAGUCAAUUCCUUACUUUGGUGUUGGAGUUUGUUUGACCCUGUUCUGGGUGUUUAUCUGUAUGAACUUGUAAUAUCAUGGAACACAAUGAAAACGUUAUAUUUAUAUGAGAGGAUCGUUGUAAUAUAUCACAUUUGAGAAGAAAAACAGUUAUUAAAUAUAUAUAUAUAUGAAUUCUUUUUAACUUUCUAAAUAUGUUUUAAAGUUGUAAGAAUUCAUUUAAACUGAUAAUAGACAAUAUUUAUAUAAUUGGAAGUGAGGUUUUAUACUAAACCUAAAUGCUAUUAUUAACCAUACAAAACCAAUCCUAGAAAAAUUGUUACUACUUUGUACCAAGAAGAUCGAAUGAAUGUUAUACUGAGAAUUCAAAUGGAUGUUAUAUGCUUCUACUGAAUUCUCAAUUUGAGUUCAUGUAUAUCGGACCAUUGAAUAAAAAUAUAAAGAAAUAGUAUUAAAGGUUUUUUUAAAAACUCUGAAAUACAAAUAAAUAAAAACUUUUUUGUCAUGAAAUUGUUUCUAAUGGCUAUCAUAUGCAUAUUGUGUUUAAGCUCUACUGAGAAUUAAUCCAAAAAGUUUGGAGAGUAUUAAUACCUGAUAGAUGAAGUAGAGGAGAAGAAAAAUAAGAGAAACAAUAAGAGUGAUCAAGAUCACAACGCGUUCCCCAUAAGACAAUUGGAAUAAUAUUGUGAUUUGGAUGAUGAUGAAUGGUAUUAUUGAUAGACCCAUGAUCCUUGCCAUGUACCCAGUUUCUUCAUCUGUUGCAAUCCCACUACCUUCAUACAUUUCACACAAUAUAAGGUUUUAUUUGAUACAUAUUUUUCUAAAACACUUUUCUAUUUUCUAAAAAAUAUAUUUGAUAAUUAAAAAAUAAAAAAUAAAAAAUAGAAAACAGUCUUAUAUUCUUAAAAUAAAAAAUAUGAUAUUUUUAAAGUUAUUUUCAUAAAUAUAGAGAAUGAUAUAUAAAAGUUAUUUAAAUUUAUUUAAAAACAUAGAAAAUAAAUUUAAAAUAUUCUCAACUUUUGUUUUAUAAAACUGUUUUAAAAAAUUGUCUUCAAAACCUGUUUUAAAAAAUGAUUAUCAAAUAAGGAGAGAAGAAACAUGUACCCGUUAACAUCAAUAAUAUUUUCCGAUAUGGUUUUUGUAAUAAAUUUGCAUCAACCGUAGCGCCCGAACCAGCGCCGGGAAACUCACAACUCCCAACAAUGACACAAGUGCCCCAAAGUACAGUGAGGAGCAAGAUCGUCGAUCCGGCCAACAAGCCGACGGCGGUGAGCACAUACUCUUGAGCAGUGUCUUUGCUGUUCAGAAGUCCAGACGCUGAAAUGGUUCAGAGAAAAACAUUGUUACAGCUAAUUAAUUUUCAUUGCACCAACCCAACCCCCUCCCCCCUUUUUUCUGAGGUAUAUAAAUUUUAAUUAAUUGAAAUCAAACUAUAUUCAAUGGAUGAUUCAUGAUUGUGGCAUCCACGAUUCAAAUAAUCAAAUAUGAGAAAUCUUUUGCGUGUUACCACAUACUUUUGACUACUUCAAAUCGUACAAAAUUUGACUAAAAAUCAUAUUAUUUUUCUUCAUUGUCUUUGAAGUUUAGGAAUUAGAUUAUUACACGACUAAUGCUGUUCAACAAUCGAUAUUAAUGAAGAUGAUGAUAAUGUGUACGAAUUUUUUUAAAAAAAAUAUUUUCUUAUUUUUUAUUUUAUUAUAAACAAUAUAAAAAAUAAAAUAUAAUUAAAAUUGUUAAAUUUUUUUUAUAUAAUUUAAAAUUAUUUAAUCUCUAUAUAAAAAAUUAAAAUAUUAUAUAAAAAUAAUUUAUUAAUUUUAUUUUAUUUUUUGUAUGUAUAUUUUAAUUUUAAAGUGUCAAACGGGGGUAGAUAUAUUAAAUGGAAGUGGUCUUCAGUCUCCACAUGACAUAUAGGAAGAAGAAGUUAGGGAUAAAAAACAAAAAUAUUAAAAUUUUAUAAUAAUUGAAAAUGUAAUUUUUGAAAAAUGAUAAGUUUAUUAAAACAAAUUUUUCAAAACUAUAAUUUUUUUUAAUCAUGUUUAAAGAAUUAGUUUAAUGAAAUACAUAUAAAGAAAGUUUGAAUAAAACCCUUAAAAUUUUAUCAUAUAUUUUCCUUGGUUUUUAUAAUAUAAAGAAAAAAAAGGGUUUCUAUUCAAUUAAAAUAGGAAAACAUAUUUAACAAUUGGAAAACAAAAAACAAUUUUGAAGUUAUUUCAAGCAUUCUUACAAUUUAAUUUUAGGAAAACACUUCCUAAACAAAGCCGUAAAUUUUAAUUCAAAAAUUAAAAAAAAAAAAAAAAAAAAAGGAAGAGGAAGAAGAAGACAUGGCAAAGAGUUGAGAAAACUUACCAAGAAGAAUCAAGGACUCAGGGAGAGCACCAAGGACCUGAAACACACUGGCACCAAACACCCCAGGCCCCAAAAUCUUGAAAAUCUGCUCACCCCCAGAUGCCACAUAUGACUCUCCAUGAAACAUCAAGUAUUCAUACACAACAAUUAGGAACAGAUGCCCAAAAAUAUUGUUGCUGCAUGGCAAAAACCCAUACAAUUGCUCACAUUCCUCUGAAGAAUACUCCAUUCCUCUCAACACCAAAACUGAAGACUUCUGCCCUUCACCCUCAUCAACCCCAUCUGAUACCAACUCAUGAGGAUACCCAUUGAGCCCUAGAGGGCGCCCUCUUACAUCAACAAUAAUGAAAAGGUAAAUAAGAAAAAUAGAGAAUGUUCUAUUUUUUGGAAUUUUCCACAUCUUGCAGAGAUGAACAAGUUGGAUGAGGAAGAAGAAAAUGGAGGAUGGGAUAUUUUAUGGAUAACAUAUAUGGGGUUUAUAUAUAUAUAUAAAUGUAUAAGUAUGAGUUAAUAUGUAUCCAUGAAUUCUUUGUAAUUACGUGAAUAUAUAACUUGUCAACAAGUUUAUGUUCAUAAAGUCAAGGACUUGUUCAUUAGUUUGAAUAUAUUGAUUUGAUAUUGGAGAAAAAGAAAAAAGGGAAAACCCCCAAAAACCCAUAUCCCCAUUUUCUUCUUUGAUGCAUGGCAGCCCUGCUAGGGUUUUGCACAUACAAAAGGAAAAUGAAAACCUUUGCAGACAAAAUUGAAAUAGAACCAUUUAUUGAUAAGAAGAAGAAGAAGAAGAAGAAGAAGAAGAAGAAGAAGAAGAAGAAGAAGAAGAAGAAGAAGAAAAUGUAUUUCAUUAAAAUAUACAUAGACCAAGUCCCAAGUUUUCUUUUGACAUAAGUUUUAUACAUGUAUAUGAUUAAACACGAGGUUGCUUGUAAGUUUAAUAGAAUUUACUAUGCUUAGACCGUUCAUGCCAUUGACCUAGCUGUCAAAGUCUGCUAAUUAGUGCUUCCACGUAUUAUUAUUGAUGAGGUGGUGGAUGGCAGCCAUCGAUCUUUGAGGUUGGUUGGUUUGAUGAGAUUAGGUUGCCUUGAUUUUGGGUUGGCUUGCGUGGAGUCUUGUUGGGGCGGCUCAUUGUCAUAUCAAAAGCUUGUGAAAUAGGAAACUCAAGAAAUUUCAAAGUUCUACAGUUUCUGAUAAAGCUUCAAAGAGGCAGCAUAAUGGUUUUUAUUUGAAACCUAAAAUCCAAAUAAUAUUUUUUUGUCGGAUUUUAUUUAGACUUAUUCAUAGUUCAAGUAAAAGAACAAAUAUGAUCUUAGUUCGUGAUACAAUAUCAAAUUCAUCUUUCAUCCUUUAAAAAGCUAAGAAUAGUCUUCGUGUUUGUUUUAUUUAUUUAUUUAAAUAUAAAUAUACAUAUAAAUUAAUUUAAUUUAACUAUAAAUACAACUUAAUAGUAUGUUUGUUUUUUCACAAUGAAAGUUGAGUGUGAGGGUUGAGAAUCAUAAGUAUGAUUAAUUAACAUUUUAGAUUAAAUAAAAAAUUACAUAUUUUAGAUUUUUAUAUUAAGAUAAAAAUAUUGAUAAACAAGUUAAAAUUUAAAAACAAACAACUGAAAACUGAAAGUAAAUUGCAUUUAACAUUAAGUUAAGAAACAAACACCACCUUAAUUGGAUAAUUAGAUAAAAUUUAUACUGUAAAUACAAUCCUUAGUAUCACAAUAUAAAAUAUUAAAUAACAUAAUAUUAUUUAGUUAUUUUUUGAAUAAUUUUAUUUGAAAUUUUAGGCUUAAUUUGAAGGGCCUAGUAAAGCUGGGCCCACUCAACCCAUUCCUGGCCCAUUAUCAGGGUAGGGCAUGGCCCAAGAGAUUACUACCCCCACUUUUGAAUUCAAGCUCUUUGAUUGUUUGAUCAACAUUCAACAUUCAACAUUUUUAUACUACUACUAUAUGAGGAAAGUUAUUAUUCCCAUUUUUUAUUGUUAAUAUUCACAUAAAAUUUUUCUUUAUUCUAUUAGGAAUAUUUUCCAUGAAUUUAGUAAGAAUAUAUAUAUAUAUUUUUUAUAUUUGAUUUUAUUAUGAAAAAUAUGAAAAAAUAAAUAUAAUUAAAAUUAAUUAAAUUUUUAUAUAUUUUCAAAUGAUGUAAUAUAUAAAAAAAUUUAAAUGAGAUAAAUAAAUUUAAAACGAUAAAUAAAAAUAUUUUAUUAACUUUAAAUUUAUUUUUAUUUUCUUUCCUUCUAUUUUCUUUUUCUUACAUUUCCCCUUAAUUUUUUUGAGUAACCAAACAUAACAUAAAUAAUUUUUAUUCUUCCUUUAUAUUUCAUACUACUAUAUACAAAUUAAACAAAGCAAUUCAUAUUUAUUUCUAUUUAAUUAUGAUUUUUUUUGAGAUUUUCCUUAUUCCAAAGAUAGUACAAAAUUUUACUUAUGUCUAGGCUUAACCUAAUCCAUUCAAAUUAAUUUCAUGAUCUCGAAGUUGUCUAACUAAACCUAUGUUCACUUGCUUAAGUUUUAACUUAAUUUUAAUUAGAGUAAGUCACGUUUAAGAUCUUACUUUAAUAAAUGGUUUUCAAGUUUGGGUUGAGCUCCAUAAAUAUCAACUAUUCUUCCCUUAAUUAUUAGAUGAUCAAGAGAAAACUGAAAAUUUCAAGAUCAACCAAGCCUAGCUUGUUGCCAAUAACCUAAAACCUCAUUUGGGCCAUGAGGGUUCUAACUUUGGAUAGGGUGUGUUGAGGCCCACCCAAUCCAUGUUUAGUGAAGGUUGGGAUUUUUUAAAAUUAUGAAUUUUUAAAAUAAAAUUAAUGACAGUGUAUUUUGAAAGGUGACAGUGUCAAAACUAUUUUUAAAAUUACAAUACUUUUUAAAACAUCAAUCUUUUGAAGAGAUAAUUUCAAUUCAAAUAUUAAAAUUAUUUUUUCAAAUAACAACUCCAAUAUUCAAUUAAAAUUAUAUUUUGAAAAGAAAUUUUUUGAAAAUGUUAUUUGAAUUAUUAUAUUUAAAAAAAUAUUUUUAAAUUUGUUGUUUUUUCCCCUCAAAAUCCCUGAGAGGUACAUCUCGUUACCUUCUCAAUGGCUUUCUUCUAUUUUUGAACCUUCUCUCCUGUCCUUUAGUAAGAGCAAGUUGGAAUAUGACAAUUCCAUACUUAUUCUACUGUCCAAAGUUUGUGGGCCCAAAAAAUACCCCCAAUGAAGAAUAAGAGCCAUAAGAAUAUAAAUAUUAAAAAAAGUAACCAUCCUUAUCCACCUUAUAAAAAUAUAAUUUUUUUUUAUAAUAAUUUCUAUAUUUAUUAUUUAUCAUGAAAAAUGCUUAAUUCGCAUGAAAAAUGCUGUGAUUUACUGUCUUAAAUUGAAGCUUUGCUUGUGUAAUUUGCAAUAAAUUUUACAUAUUCACUUACAAUAUGAUUUUUUUUUUUUGUAAUAAAGAUAUUAAAUUUAUAUAUAGAAACUAUUUCAUAAUUUAUUGUAUCAGAGUCCAAAAAUCAAGCAAAAUCCUUAUUUCCAGGAAAGGAAGGAGAUCGGAGGUCUUGAAGAAGUCAUUGCAGCAAAUGUUGAUAAUUCUCACCUUGGAAGCAAUGUCUCUUGGAAGUGGAUUAGAAUUCCAUUUGCAUUUGCAUAUAUUUGAAUUGGUCACUUGGAAAUUUUGUCUUUUUGUCAAGAAUCUCAGUACUACCACCCUAUACCAUUAAAUUUGCAAAUUAAAUUUUUAUGUAUUAAAUAUAUAUAUAUAUAUAUAUAUAUAUAUAUAUAUAUAUAUAUAUAUAUAUAUAUAUAUAUAUAUAUAUAUAUAUAUAUAAUUUUCUUGUAUAAGUAGAUGUCUUUCCAACCUAGGCACCAUUAAUUACUCAUUAUUAUAUUCCAACAAUCUAUCAAUUUCAACAUAUGCUUUGAUUUUUCUCAAGAUUCAAUUCCCAUCUCCAAGAGGUUUCACAUUGAAACCAUGCGACAAAAAAAACCCCACAACUCAUAAUUAAUUAAUAUAUCCUAAUAAAUUCAUUGUAAUUUAAUGUUUCCCAUAUGCUUAAUUUGUAUUAAAACAUUUUUUUAAUAAAUGGUGAGAAUUCUAAAAUAAAUUGAGAAAAAUAUAAAUAAAAUGACUUCUAUUACCAUAUAGUAAUCUUAAAAAAAAAAAAAAGAGAGAGAAUGAGGAAUUAUGAGACCAUAGAGGUGAUGAGUUAAACCUCCUUCAAAGAUUCCGUAGCCACUCUUUCAUGACUUUCUUCCUCAAGUGAACAGUUUAUUGAUCCAUAGGAAAAUCCAACAAAGAUAUUUUGUAUGAACCUUCAUGAGAAAUUAUCUCCCCAAAUACCAUUCAUUUUUGCGGCUGCACCCCAAUUUGACUCCAUGAGAUGCUUCUCCCAAUUAUUUGGACUUGCCUCACUCAACAUGCAAUCAAUCUUGAUUAGCUUGUUAAUUUGAUUUGAAAGUUUGGUUUGAUAAAUAAUUUAUUAAUACAUGAAAUCGAAUUAGAUUAAAACCUUAACAUACUGUCUCAUUGGUAAGCAGACAAGGUAAGCACAUUAACUCUGAUGGAUAAAUUAUGAUUAAUAUUAUACUUGAACUCUACAUAAACUAAAACCUUAACACCCUUUGCUUACCUAUCUAGAAAAAUAAAUAUCAUCGAGCUUUAAUUCUAUGAAAAUCAAUUCAAAAACUUAAACCAUUAAAUAAUGAACCAGUAAUAUAUAUCAAAUAAAGUAUAAUUAAAAUCCUAACAUUUGAAGUACAUAUCACUUUCAAACUUUUUGUUUUUUUGACAAAAAUCUUUGAAGGAUUCUCUCAACUAGAUGCGUAAAAGUUGAGUAUAAUUUUCGUAUAUGUUGUCAAACUCCACUUGUUGACAUGAGCUAACAAACAAAAAUAGGCGCCUAAUCCAUCUUUUCAUAAAUUAAUCUCGAAGUCGUAUAAAUGGACUAUAGACUUUGAGGCCACCAUCAGGAAAAUUAAGAACUAUGAAAUUAAGGUCUCAACUCUGUUCAUUGCCCAAACUACAAGAAAAUGGAUUCAUUUCUCUUCUCCUUCAUGGCCACAAUUCUGUUGCUUCCAGGAGCAGCAUCCGAAGUAGGCACCGGCCAUAUGGGCAGUAUUGGUGUCAUCGUCGAUAAUAGUUCGCUUAUCGGUAAAGAAGAGAUAGUAGCAAUGAAGUUAGCCAUCUAUUACUUCAACAACAAAACUAAUCGACAAUUGGAUUUGCAUGUGAGAGACUCUCAAAGUGAUCCAGUUCUUACUUUGCUUUCCGGUAAACUCCACCAAUCUAAUUAUCUUUCAGUGAUUCGAAGGAAACUUAAUUUGAAGAUGUACUCGAUAAUUAAUUUGAAUGAAUUUUGUUUGUAACUUUCGUAUGUAUUCUGAGAUGCAGCCAGAAAUCUGAUCAAGAAGCGGAGAGUGCAAGCUAUUAUCGGCCUUGAUACAUGGGAAGAAGCAUCUUUAGUUGUGGAGCUUGGUAGUAAAGCUCAUAUUCCGAUUGUUUCCUUGGCUGAUGCAGCUCCGCAGUGGGCAACAGAUCGCUGGCCGUUCCUUGUUAGAGCCUCGCCGGAGAAACACCUGCAAAUGAAAGCUGUGGCAGCCAUUAUCGGGUCUUGGGGAUGGCGUCGGAUCAAUGUGAUAUACGAGGAUACCAACUCUGCUGGCUCUGAGAUCAUUCCAUUUCUUGCUGAUGCCCUCAAGCAAGUUGGUUCAGAAAUCGGAUACCUUGCAGCUCUCCCACCAUCAUCUGCAGUUAAUUCUUCUUCUUCUUUAUCUGAUCAGCUCCAAUGGCUUAAAGGAAAGCAGUCACAAGUCUUUGUGGUUCAUUCAUCUUUAUCAAUGGCGGAGCGUUUGUUUUCAAAAGCUAAUGAAUUGGGCAUGAUUGGAAAGGAUUCUGUUUGGAUCACUACAGACAGCAUCACAAAUCUUGUACAAUCCAUGAAUUCCUCAGUCAUCUCUUCCAUGGACGGUGUUCUAGGAGUGAAGAGCUUCUUCCAGGAAGACGGAGCCCGGUUCCAAGACUUCUGCUCCAGAUUUCGACAGAAGUUUCGAUCACUGUAUCCUAAGGAAGACAACCACGAGCCUGGGAUUUUCGCCGUUCAGGCAUAUGAUGCUGUGUGGUCUGUUGCUCUAGCAAUGGACAACAACGGGUCGACCCAACAAUUGUUAGAAAAGAUUGAACUCAGCGAUUUCCAUGGCCUCACAAACAGAAUCAAAUUUGAGAGACGACGCUUGGCUCCACAGCGCAUGUUUCAGAUUGUUAACGUGAUUGGAAAAAGUAAUAGAGAGCUCGGAUUCUGGUCGGAGGGAUCAGGCUUCGCCAAGCCUACUAAUGGUCAAAUUCAAAACAGUAGCUCCAUGGACAUCCUGGGGCAAGUGUUUUGGCCAGGAGGCCCUACUUCCACCCCAAGAGGAUGGGCAUUUCCUACAAGCGAAACCCCAUUGCGAAUUGGAGUGCCCCUCAAUGCCACAUUCAAACAAUUUGUUUCUGUAAACUACGAUAUUGAUGGAGGCCAUCGAUCGGUUUCGGGUUCUCAAUCGAAGUCUUCAAAGCAGUUCUGAAACAUUUAAAAUACAAUCUAUCUUAUGAGUUUUUUCCCUACAGUGGUACCUAUGAUGAUUUGGUGGAACAGGUUCAUCUCAAGGUGAGAGAUUUGUUCAUUCUCCUUACUCUUAACUCCAUUUUAAGUUACAUUACUAAUACUUUUCUAUACGUAACAUAUAAAAUUGUAUCUAUGUGAAGAAAUUUGAUGCAGUGGUAGGCGAUACGUCGGUAAUUUCAAAGAGAUGGGAUCUGGCCGAAUUUUCGUAUCCCUACACAGAACCAGGAUUGCUGAUGAUAGUUCCUGAGAAAGUAGAGACAUCCAAUAGGGCUUGGUUAUUCAUGAAGCCCUUCACCAAGGUGAUGUGGGUUCUAACAGGUGCUAUAACCAUCUACAAUGGCUUCACCCUCUGGUUGAUAGAACGAAACCAAAACCCAGAACUUAUGACAGGCUCUACUCUGAACCAAAUGGGAACCUUGGUUUGCCUAUCCUUCACCACCCUCUUCUCUAUGCAUGGUAAGGGCUAUAAAUCAUCCAUUUCAUCUACUGUAUCUGAAACUGAACAUAUCACUUCUCAUAUAGAAUUAGUAUAUAAUUUUGUUGCAUGUAUCCAUUUCUUUCUUCAAUGCUAUGAAAAUCAUGAGGGUUCUGAUGAUAUUUCCAAAUGCACAUUUUAUGUCAUAAUUUCAAGCCAAUUUAACAUAAUAAUUGCUCUUGAUAGUUUUAUCUGAUGAAUUUUUUCGUAUCCCAUUGUUCAUAAUGUAACAUGGAAGAUGGGGAUUGAGGCUGUACAGGUCUUUAAGGUUCCCUCAUGCAUUUAUCUUUCUGAAUCACAGGAGGAAGGCAACAUAGUAAUCUGUCCCGGUUGGUAAUGGUGGUCUGGCUGUUCGCAUCUCUGGUGAUAACGAAUAGCUACACUGCUAAUCUUACCAGCAUGCUUACGGUCCAACGCCUUGAACCUACUGUGGUCGAUGUGGAAGAUCUGAAGAGUGCUAAUUCCAUUGUUGGGUGCAGCAAACGAUCAUUCGCGGUGAGGUAUUUGGUGGAUGUCAUAGGAAUAAAAAUGAGAAACAUAAAAGAUAUCACUUCAGCUGACCAGUAUGCUCGAGAUCUCAGAAGCGGAGAGAUAGCAGCAGCCUUCAUUGAAGCUCCCUACGCCAAAAUAUUCCUUGCCCAAAACUGCAAAGGCUUUGCUGCUUCUGGGAAAACAUACAAAGUUGGUGUCUUUGGAUUUGUAAGUCCCUAUAUUCCUUUAUAGCUAACUCUCCUUUCUCCAUCUUACUCAAAUUUUCUAAGAUCAAAGGUGAGCCUAUCAACCUGCCAUUCAAUGCCAUUUGGGCUGUGUUUCUUGAAAAAGUACAUCAGGGAGAUUAUCACUGAGAGCAUUUUUGCAUUAGGGCUCAAUUGGGUGGUGGUUUGUUUUCUCUGAAGUCCCAAAUCAAUAGAAGAUUUCUUCCCUUUUCCCCAACUUUUCUCAGCAACCAAACAUGCAGAACUGAAACCCAUUUAGCUGCACCAAACCAAAAUUAAUUAGUCUAUCUAGUGUAUGAUUAUUAAUAUGAUUGAUUAAUUAAUUUGCUGAUUUUUUCAGGUGUUCCCAAAGGGAUCACCUAUUCUUCCAGACAUAUCUAAAGCAGUCUUGGAGGUGACUGAAAAUGGUGAGUUACGUGAAUUACAGAACAUGUUGAUUGGAUCCCAGAAGUGUAAUUCAAAUAUUACAGAAACCAGUGAGGAUAGCAGUAGUCUUAGCCCUAGCAGCUUUUGGGUACUUUUCUUAAUAACAGGAGGUGUAUCAACAGUUUGUCUUGUAAUCUUCAUGGCCAGAGAAAGGUUAACCUAUUUGUAUAAUUAUUCGUUGGGGCAUAUGGCCAUUUGGAGACUAAUAUCAGCUGUAAUGAGAAGCUGGAGAUCACAUCCACGUGAGCGAUUCUCUAGAGGAAUUAGCGACGAAGAAAGUAAUGGAAAUGGCCAACACACAUCUAUGCAUUCACCACAAUACUUUGGAUAUAGAGUGCCAUGGCAGAGAAAUUACAGCUCCAGAAGUUCUUCCUAAAUUCACAAGCUAAAUCAACCCCAAAAAAUAAAAAUUUUAGAGGAUGCUUGGGAAACCAUAACCCAUAUGUGAAUGCAUUUAAGCACAGAAUUUAUAGCAUAUUUUCUGUAUGUUUGUGCUCUGUGAAAUGCAAUAUAAUUCUUAUUUUUAAAAUGCAUUUGUGUAUUAUUGUACGUACUGUUUUAGAUAAAGCAAUAUAUAAAUACUCUUGAUUUUGUAUGUAAAAUCAUAUAUUAAUAUGAUAGAUUUAUACUUGGUUCUUGUUUGGAGCUUAAAGCCCAUCUGUUGACAAGUAUGCGAAAGGAAAAGCAAGCUUAAAACUGAUGAUAAACCCUAAAAAUCUAGACACUAUUCAAUUAAAAAUGAAAAAGAAACAUAUAGCAAAACUAUAUAAAUGAUGAUUCAAUGUCUCUCAAGGACAAGUUCAAGUUAUCAAAACCAUCAAUUUUUCCUCCUUUGGUAAUUACUGUAAGGGUGGUAACCAAUUCUUUUUUGAAACUUCUAAGACUUACCUAAUCCCAUGCUGCCCUAAUACCAAUUGAUAUUCAAGAUCAGCUAAUUAUUGGUGAAUAAUGCAUAAUUGUAUAAAUUUAAGGUUAUAGUCAUGAUCUUUAGAUCCAACCAAGAGGAAUGGUAGAUAUCACCAAGUUUUCCUUGACUUUUCCUCAUUGGGCGAAUGAAUGGUUGUAAGCCCUUUGUCAAUUUAAAGAGAUACAUAAUCAAGAGAAAGACAUGAAUGAUAAGAUUUUUCCGUGUGGAGCAAUGAAAUCGAAUGAGAUGAAUUGACGAAAGCUAUUUAAUUAGUGAGUGAUUAAGAAUUGUAGAACAAGGGAAUAAUCUUAAAUUUUAAUUUUGUCAGUCAAUCCAGAUACAAGUAUAACUUAUAAUAUUAUAAGGCAUAGUCAAGACUCCCAUGACCUGGAAUUAGCAUGCAGUGGCAUUUGAAUUUAUCGUCUCCUCAAUAUAAAAUUGUUACCUAAAGGCAUUUUGUCUACUCUACACGUCAAGCUAUUGAGACAAAAAAUUAAGAGUUUCAGAACACAUUAAUGGUAGUUAGCAACGAAUUCAAUGUCAAGAUUCUAAUCUCAGGAUUCUUUGAUAACAAAGGCAUUGACUUAGUCUAAGAUUACUUGAUAAAUUCAACAUUCUUUGAUCAAUGCAUGUAUAUAUUACUAUGACGAAGAAAUAAAAAAUUCUAGUCUCAAUAGGGCCUGUAUAUUUGAACAAGUCAAGUGUUUCAAUCAAUCCACAUAUAUGAAGAGAAAAAAUCAAAGGACAUGCAUGUUUACCAAUUUUCAAGCUUUGUUUCUAGUGAUAGUAUAUACCAAAUAUACUGGCAAUUCCAAAUAAGGAACCCUCCAAAGUCACAUGUUUAUAGUCCUGUCUAAACAGGUCAUUCCAUGAAAAUUGAUAGUAUAUAUUUGUUGUCUUGUGCCUGUUGGUAUAUACUGGAUUAAUUAAUGUAUCUAGAAAGCAGCAAAGGAAUUCAAUUCAAACGAAAGCAAUGUGAUUUGACAACAAUAUUUGAAAAAUUAAUACACCCCAAGGUCUUACAAGUUUAACCGAAGAACAACGUUAUGUAACAAUAAAUGCAUCCUUUACUAAUGAUCAGUGAAGCAUUAACAACGUAGCGCGGUAGUUCUAGAAUUCUUCGUCUCAGACCUAGGGGUGGAGCCAGUACUGAUCAAUUGGUCCACAAGAUUGGGGUUCAAUUCUUUGAAUCAUGCCCCAUAAGAUGGGCUUCAACUCUUAAAGUUGACCCAGUAAGCGAAAAAAAAGAAGACAAAUGAGGCAAAGAAAGGAAAUUAAAGCAUUCUUAUCCAUAUAUAAAGGAAAGGGACCAUGGUGGCAAUAGCUGUCCUUUUAGUCUUCACAAAAUGGGCAUAUUGUUUUCUCUCUUCUUCUCUUUGUUGGUCUUAGAUUUGUUGUUUCUGCAAAUGGCAACAGCCGAUGGAGGCACUGACUCAAUUGAAAAAGCUGAUGUCAAGGGAAGUAUUGGAGCUAUUCUAGACUAUAGCUCGCGCAUUGGGAAAGAAGAGAAGGUAGCCAUGGAGAUGGCUAUAGAGGAAUUCAACUCUCAGUACUCCAACCAGCAUAUUGACCUGCUGAUAAAUGACUCUCAAGGGGAACCCAUCCAAGCAGCACUUGCAGGUAAGUCUAUCGGUUCAUCUCCUUUAAUUUCUGGCAAGUAAUGAGAGUUCUCUACAGUACCAUGUUUGACAUUGAAAUUCAGUUCCCAUGACCACAUCCUAGUUUGCAAUAGAUCUUGUUCAUGCAUAUAUACUAUAUUUCUGGGCAAAUUAUAGAUGACUCAGGACAUAGCUAGGGCAUUCAGAAACAGACAUAUAUAUAUAUGCUGAAAUGUUCAUGAGGUUCAUAUAUAUGACAAGAUAUUGUUAGUGAUAAAUGCGUUUUUGGAAAUGAAUUUUACAUAUAUACAACUAUGAGAACUGGUGGUUAACACUGGGCAGAUUCAUUACCUACUUAGCACUCCACUUAAAGCUAUGAAUUCGCAUUAGUUUUCUGGGAAAUGAAAGGAGUUACUAAAGGAACUAACCAUAAUAUUUUGUGCUUCAUCAGCAUCUUAGCAUAUCCGUACAUCCAUACAGACUUGACCCAUAAGCCAUGAGGAAAGAACAAAUUAAAACAGUUGCUUUUUGAAUGAGUUUGCAUAGCAUUGUGAAGAAAUUAAGUAAACAACAAAUUACAAAGAAAUCAUGGUGUACUAAUAUAUAUAGGACAUAUAUACCAAGUUUUUACAGCUUGUUUGUGAAGUAUUCAUAGGCAGGAAUGGUUUGAUUUCAGUACAUACAACAAAAAAAGAAUCAACCAUUUUUGGCCUUGUUUUGCAUAUUAGUUUCAUUAUACAUAUAUAUAGUACUGAUAUUGUUUUGAUAGUGAAAUUAUCAAACCAUGUAGAAGCUGCUACACUUCUACUAAUACUGCUACUACUACCACCACUCCUACUGCUGAUUUUUUGAACAUUGUUGCAUCAAUAUACAGCACUGGAGCUUGUAUACAGGCAUCGAGUAAAAGCAAUUCUGGGGCCCCAAUCAUGGGAAGAAGCAUCCUUAGUUGCAGAGGUUGGCAGUCAAGCUCAUAGCCCCAUUCUUUCUCUUGCCUAUGCAACUCCACAGUGGGCAACAGAAAGGUGGCCCUUCCUCAUCCAAGCCUCUGCAGACCAGUCUUGCCCAAAUGAAAGCCAUUGCUGCAGUUAUUAAGUCUCAGGAUUGGCAUCGGGUGACCGUAGUAUAUGAGGACAUCCCGUCCUCCGCCACUGGAGCCGUUCUCCAACUCUCAGAAGCCCUGAAAAAUGUAGGAAUAGAAAUAGGCCACCUUCUGCCUCUCCCACCUUUGUCUUCUUCUUCUUCAUUGGUUGAAGAGCUCCAGAGUCUUAAAGAAGGGCAGCGUAGAGUGUUUGUGGUUCAUACAUCCUUGCAAUUGGGGGUUCACCUAUUCGAAACUGCCAAGAAGAUGGAGAUGAUGAAAGAAGUGUAUGUAUGGAUCAUUACAGACACCAUUUCCAGUCUUGUCCAUUCCGUAAAAGCCUCUACCAUCUCCUCAUCCAUGGAUGGAAUUGUAGGUGUCAAAAGCUACUUCAUUGAAACCACACCCCAUUUCAAGAUAUUCCGGGGGAGAUUCAGGAGGAAGUUCAUCUCAGAACACCCAGACGAAGAAAAGAAUGAACGCGGGAUUUACGCAGCUAAGGCCUAUGAUGCCACUUGGGCUGCAGCUCUAGCGAUGAAGGAAGGGGUACCGAUACUGGCCAACAACUGCUAGAAAAUAUUUCAAACGGCCAAUUUGAUGGCUUAACUGGAAAGAUCCAAUUCAGCGAUCAGAAAUUAGCCCCAACACAUAUAUUUCAGAUCAUCAAUGUUGUAGGGAAGAGUGAUAGAGAACUAGGGUUCUGGUCCUAGACAUCGGAGGAGGAGUCAGGUUUUUGGGGAGAUGGAAGAGCUCUGGCACAGGUGAUUUGGCCUGGGGGACCCAGGAAUACUCCAAGGGGAUGGACGACUCCAACAGAUGAGAAGCCACUGAAGACCAGUGGGUCCACUUUCAAACAGUUUGCAGAAGUGACACAAGAUGGAAAUAAUAUUGCUUUCAAAGGAUUCUCAAUCAAUGUCUUCAAUGCAACUAGGGGUCUCCAAAAAGCCCGCGGCCCGCUUUAGGCCCGGCCCGGCCCAAGCCCGCCGGGCCCAAGCUCGGCCCGAGCCCGUUUAUGGGCGGGCCGGGCCGCGGGCCUAAAUUUAGGCCCGGCGGGCCGGCCCGCCCUUAGGCCCGCCUUUAAUUUUUUUUUUAAAAAUAAUAUACUAUAUUUUUAUAUAUAUAUAACUAAUUCAUUUAAUAAGCACAAAAGAAAUGUAGCUCAGUUGGUUAGAGCCUUAAAAUUUAAGCUUGAGGGGAGGGGUUCGAAUCCCCCCCUCUUCCUUCCUUUAUUUAAAAGCCAUUUUGGCUUAUUUAAAAAAGCCCGUUGGCCCGGCCCGCCCAGCCCGCCAGCCCGCAGGCUCAUAGGCCGGGCCGCGGGCCUAGCAUUUGAGCUCGGCCCGGCCCGUUGACCAGUCAACGGGCCCAUAGGCCCGGCCCGCCCAUUGGAGACCCUUAAAUGCAACUGUGGAACGCUUGCCAUAUGCUUUGCCACAUAAGUUGUAUGCCUUCAAUGGCACAUACGAUGAACUAGUGAGACAGGUUUAUUUGAAGGUACGAGAUAUGCUGUCUUCUUAAAGGUACGAGAUAUGCUGUCUUCUUUCAUUCAGUUUCUUGCUCUUCCGAUUUGAAAGGUCUGUUCGGUGAUACUUUAUUUUUAAUCAUUUUCCAUGUUUGUACCAUCAUUUUUCAAAAACUGUUUUUUGUCAAUUUUUAUUUAUUUAUCAAACCUAUACCGCUUUCAAUUUAAAAACAAUUCCCAAAUAAACUCUAAGGUGGUGUUUGUUUUUUGGCUGAAUAAAAAAAGUAAAAUAUUUUGGCUUUUUCUAUUCGGCUAAAAGUACCUUAUUGAUACUAACCAACAUAAUUAAAGUGAAUUUCUUAUUAAUAAGUUUAGUUUAAUGAUGUUGGUUGAUGUCAAUGAGUUACUUUUAGCUGAAUAGAAAAAGUUAAAAUAUUUGGUUUUUUCUAUUAAGCCAAAAAACAAAUACAACCUAAGUCUUAUUCACAUAGAACUUGUCCAUAUUUGUAUAUUUACUUGAAACUCUGCAAAUGUGAGCAGAAAGUUGAUGCAGUAGUUGGAGAUGUUGCAAUAGUAGCCAAAAGGUUUGAGCAUGCAGAGUUCACACAACCUCAUGCUGAACCAGGAUUGCAGAUGAUAACCCCAGUUCGAUCAAAAAGCAGCAAUAAAGCAUGGCUAUUCAUGAAGCCCUUCACAAGAGCCAUGUGGAUUCUAAUAACAUUCAUAAAUGUCUACAACGGAUUCGUGGUAUGGUUGAUAAAAAGAAACCAGUACUGCAAUGAACUUAAAGGCUUAGUCCUCAAUAAAAUAGGAACCCUACUUUGGCUAGCCUUCUCAACGCUCUUUUCUCUGCAUGGUAAGAAGAAAUCCCUACAUAUCUUAGAAAUUUAAGGCAUAUUUGGUAACUAUUUUUUAAAAUAGUAUUUGAUUCUUUAAAGAAAAAAAAACCAAGAAAAUACAUUUAACAGCCUGACAAAACAAAAACCAAUUUUCUCAAAAACAAAAAACUUGAUGUAUAAUCUUUUAAUGGUUUUCGAUUGUUUUCUAUAGCGUUUUAAAAAAUAAUUAUACGAAUAUUGAAAAUGAUUAUAAAUAAAUUAUUAGAUAUCAAGUUAGUUUUAAGACAUUUAAAAAUAUAAGAAAUAAGUUAAACAUAUUUUAGGUUCUCAAACCCAAUUUUUUUCUAUAAAAUAUUAAAGACCAGUUUUUCAAAAACUGUUUUUAAAAAUAUUUCUCAAAUAAAAGGGAAGUUUCUAUAUGUUAUAAAAUUGAUAGCCUCACCCUAGUUGAUUUGUUUGAACAUGAACUCCAAGUAUGCUCUAAAAGAUGAAGGCAUGUAGUUGAAGUGAAAAGAUGUUGGUCAAAUAGUUCGUAAAUGAUUGAUUAGACAUGAGUAAGAUAACUCCUUGUACAUAUUAAAUUUUUUCAUGGUGAAAGUGUUUAAUUGUUAGUAGGCCCAUGGGUUUUCAUCUCUUAGGAGAUUUUCUAUGUAAAAAUCUGGUGUUAUGGUCUCCACCUCAUUCUUCUCAUUUUUCAUUAUCAUUUAUCGAUGCUAAUUUCAUUCUUAAUCAUAAAUGUUAAAUGGGUGAAAAAUAAGUUGAAAUGAGUUCAAUUAUUCUUUAGAAAUUUUGGAUACUUUUCUUUUCAAUUUGAUUAUGAUAUCAAAAGAGUAAUUAGAAAUAUGUUUUAAAUAGUUAAUUAUUAUUAUGAAUUUUGAUCGGGAAUCUUGAUUCAUUUGCAUACAAAUUGCAUUUAUUAAAUUUUUUAGAGAGUUUUGGUGCAUCUAUUCUUGCAUGUGAUUUUUAUUUUUAUUUUUUUUGUUAAAAAGUUGUUAGAAGAUAUGAGAAAUUUUAAAGAAAGAUGAUUCAUGUUGGAGCAUCUCUUAAAUUUAUUUAGAUACAUGUUGGAGUAUCUCUUAUAUUUAUUUAAAAACACCUAUUCACCCCUCUAGGGAUAGUCCAACAUUAAAAUUCAGCCUCGGUUUUUAUUAUGAAUAUUUUAUUUUUCAAGUGGAGAUCUUGAGAAAUGUUUUAUAUAUGGGAUGAGUGUGCUUUAAACAAUAACAAAAGUAAAAAUAAUUUUCAUGUAUUUUUUGCAUAAUAAUUUUUUAAAAGUUAUUAAUAUUUUUUUUUUAAAAAAAACCAUAUUUAUUUUUUUGUGGUUUAAAAACUUAUUCGAACACAUUGUGUCAUCAACUUAAAAAGACAUUUUAGAUAUUGAUUGAAAUAAUAGAAAUAUGAGAAUGCAUGAAAUCAAUUCUAAAUUCUAAAUAUUUUAGAUUUAUGAAUAUAAAUUUGAUUUAAAAAAAUGCAAGUUCUUAUUUUCUUUGAUUAGAAGGAACAAUUUGUUCCCUUUUGCAAAUUUUUAAGUUCAUAAAGCAUGAUGACUCAUUAAAUGAGAUAAAUAUUUAUCCUCUUUAUAAUUACGAUUGUGGACAAUCUUUCUUAAUAUGAUUUAAAUUCAUCUUCCGAGGACUACGAUAGAUUUCACUAUCUUCCUCCAUAAAUGUUGUACAAUAUUCCAAAUCAUAUACAAUGGAAGAUUUCAAACAAACACAUAAAUGAAUUAAAAUUAAGAAUAUUAUGAAGAAUCUCAAAUACUUAAUUGUAAAAUAUCCAUAUUUAUAAUCAAUAACCCAAGUCAUUCUAUAUACAUUACCAUCAAUACACAAUAGUAAUUACUCCAAAGGCUUGUAAGAUGUGGGGAAUGCUUUUUCUGAAUGAAAAACUACAUGAGGAGGUUUACAUACCACCUUUGCCAAGAUGAUCAGUUUCUUCACAUUUAGUUAAUCAACUCAAAAAGGCAUUGUACGAACUAAAACAAGUUGAUUGUAGAUAAAUUUUGCAUUUGUAAACCCUAUAUAAUGGUAUUAAAUAUUGUUUACAUUAAAAUGGUUUUCUUCUUUCUCAAAUGAUAUAAAACCAUAUUAAUCCUGAUUUUCAUAUUAAAUGAAACUAUUAAAAUGUAAUUUGUAUAAAACAUCUAGAUUCAAUUAAAUCAAAAUUUUACCUCAUAUUAGUAUUAAUAUUAAAACAAAAUUUACCCUAUAUCGUUUUCUUAAAACAAAUUCAAUAUAUGUAUUAUUACUUUUAUAUAUUUCCAUAAAAGCCAACUAUUGAUAUUUCAUAAAUUUUUAUAUUUUUUUUAUUUUCUCAUUCUGACUUCUAAAUCACGAACUUCUUUCAUAAAACCAGUUUGAAAGGCCCUAACCAAAUUAAAAGAACUUCUUAACUUCUCAAAAUUAUUUUAUUAUCUUGAGAAUUGAGGAACGUUCCAUGCUGAAACCCCUCAAACUCUCCAUUUAGAUACUAAUAACGCCCACUACAAUCGGCACCAGAUAAUCAGGACAUUCAAUCAACAAUAGAAAUCAAAUCUAGGACCAUGUGCCUCUACCACCGACGACCACUAACCAAUUGGACACAUCGAUGGGCUUAACGUCUAAAAAUCCAUCCAAACCAAACCCAAAAUAAUUUUUCAUAUGUAUAUCAAAUAAAGAGACUUUAGAUUCUUUUUUCCCCCUUUUUCCUGCUGCUUUCCAUCAUCCAAACAUAGCCUAACAAUUAGAGCUCAACAAAAUACAAAAAAUGGUUCAGUUUUUACAGGCUUAAGGACUUUAAGAGUUCAUUUGAAUCUUGAGGAUUCCAGCACUAGGAGAAUUUUUUAAUAACUCAAAAUAUAAGACUGAAGGGACUCAGUUCAGCUCAAAUAUCAGUUGAACAAAAGUAAUAAAAUCGGUAUUCAGCAGCAAAAUUAUUUAAACACGACCUCAAGUAAUAGUGGUUUUAACAUAAAGCUCAACCUUCAUAUUUAAAAGGAAGAAAAGAAAAGACUCGUGGCAUUGAAAGCAAAGUAAUUUUCACCUUUCUGAACACUAGAAAAUUUGCUAUCCACCAUUGCUACAAAACAACACUUCAG